rnacentral:lncRNA from 1 species
AAUUUUCAAAUAAUUGCAGGUUUUCUAUCAUUGUAACUGAAGCCCCAGAAGGAGAAACCUACCAUAAAAAAGGAAGCAACCAACAAUCAUAAAAGCAGAGAGAGCUUAAGAGCCUUUAUCAAGGUGGAUUCAUUAAGAGCUGAAAGUCGCAACAAACAGACUUGACCAACUACCGGAAUGCUUCAAAAUAUUCCACUUAGACAAGAAUGUUGGAAGAUACUCCACCAAGUUUUGUGCAAGAUUUCUUUUGUUUUAUAUGUGAUAUAUUACAUAUUAAAGUGGUUAAAAGUCAAAAUGGAGUAGUGAAAGAAGAGAAGCAUAUCUAAAAUUACCAGAAUUUUUGAACCAAAACAUGAAAAUGAUGACCAACAGCUACGAAAACUCCUCAAUUGACCAUUGUCUUCAUGGCUCAAAAGUCAAAAAGUCAAAAUGCAGGAAAAGUGAGUCAGACAACCGUCAUAUAUGACUCUGACAGAGCAAUUACUAAACAAAUAGUUCAGAUAAGUUAGCGAGUUCAUUAUCAAGAGGUCAAAGUUCAGAGAAACCAUUUCAUCCCCUUAGAAUCACAAUUUUAAAUAGAGUGAGCUGACUUUAGCAAUAAUAAAUUAAAAUCCAUAGAAACAGACAUUUAAAAUAAACAAAACUAGACUGCUAGUUGUUUUAAACAUUAAUAGGAUAUUUGUAGGAAAUGCGGGCCAAAAGUUAUUGAGUUCCAGCCAUAUAGAUGUUACUGAAGAAGCUUCAAAAUUCUAACCUCUGUUUGUCUAAGCAAGAGACCACAAAAAUCAGCUUGGAAAGUUUUGAAGAAAGGAGUGUCAUCACUCAUCAGCAUUGCUGAUCUAAAGACAUAUAGAAAAUGUUUCACAAAUUUUCUGCAGAUGCUAUGAAUAUAAAAUGCAAAUGCAUUUUCCACGGACAAAAGUGCAGAGAACUCAUUUCAUCCUGAUGCAAAUCGUGAGUUUAAAGCGAGAGCUAAUCUUAGAAAUAAUCUUUUACAUUGUUACUUGAUUAGUUAAUUUGUUUCACUUCUCUUUUAUGCAGAACUUGCUUUGGUCACCCAAGAAAAUCUUGUGCCUUUGGUUAUUCAUACACAAACAAGAUAUUAAGUCAAGCUUCCAUUGAAGACAUGUAACCAUCACCUAUUUAUGGUAAUGUUUAUGGAGUACCUAUAACUUUCAAUCAAGAUACAGAAACCUAAGAAAGACGCCAGACAAAAUUGAAAAGAACAACUUCAUGCAAUUCUUCAUUUUUGGUCAAGCGACUACCAACAUAAGAUUUACUCAACAUCAUAUAGACCCCGUAAUUUUGGAAUAACUAUGAAUCUUAAAGUAAGAGCAUCAUUCUAGACAUACGAUUUUUAACUGCAAAAAGAGAACAGGCAAGCUCAUAAAAUCAUGUUGUAUCUAAUGGAGCUAAGAUACAACUUCAAGAAGGGUGGUGAGUAGCUUGCAGAGGCCAACUAACAGACAAUAAGCAGUCAUAAAGACAGACUGACAAUUUUCGGCAACUAAAUUGCAGCUAAUUUGAGAGGCAAGCAGUAUGAGACAGAAUAGCAAAUGAGGUCCAUAAUUGAUGAAUUACUACCUAAUGUCAUGACCAACAGGUUGAAGGCAUCUCAGUCACUUAGAAGCAAAAGAGAGUGCCAUUCUAUAAGUUUGUCUCCAGUAUGAAAAUGAUGUGGUUGAAGAAGGAAUAAUGGGAUAUUGAUACGUAUGGCAGUAAUUAAGCCAUUGAGGUCUCCCGUGAGCUCUGAGCAUAACACCACUGCAAAAUAGAAUACUCAAAACUCAAGACAGUGUAUAGAAAAUCAUAAAGCUAGCUAGAAAAUUCGGGUAAUUGCAGGACAUUUCUGUUCAACAAAUCUUGCAGAAAGCUUAAGAAAAAGAGAUAUUGUCAUUGAUUUCAAACCUAAAUAGCAGAUACAAAAUCUUUCUGCUGAGUCUCAGGUACCAAAUUCUUAUUGCUAGACCUCGUGACUGAAAUGGCAGAUUGACAGUGUGCAAGCUUCGACAAUAAGGACAUUUGGCUAUUUGAGGCAGCAAUAUGAAAGAAAAGAGGGCCAUCAUAAACAUUUCUGUCCAAGAUACUGGGUUCGCAAUUGAAUGAGCAAUUACUGCUAGUUGUUCUGAACGUUGAUAGGUCAUUUCUGUCGAAAAGGUAUGGUGUGAAGAAGCUUCAAAAUUCUAACCUCUGUUCGUGAAGCUAUUCUUCUAUCACUCCUACAAAAACAAAGCAUAGAACAGAAUAUGAACAGAGAUACAGUAAAACUUCAAAGCACGAAACAGAACAGGUGCUUGGGGUCAUUCUAAUUGAUAGUUACAAGAGUAUUACUAUUAUGUUGUAAGGAGUAAAUGAAGAGCACCAAUAUUUUGGACCUAAUAAGAAAUGCUAAUGCUGCAGCUUUGAAAGAUAAUAAAUAGGACGAUAAAAAGGGAGAAGAGAAAAUUGUGAAAAUAACCAUAGGGGAGACUUUUUUAGGUUUUCUCGCGAGAAGGUUAAUCAGAGGGGGAGGUGAAGAGGAGGGGAGAUUGAUUGCAAAGCAAAUUAGGAAAGUGGUUAUUGAAGGCAAUCUUACAUGAUUGAAUUUGAUCCGAAGAUGAAAGUUGGUUAUUAAUCAACGUAUGCCUAGGUCUUGAAUGUGAGAAACUUUGGACCACUGGGAGUCGGGGCCGCUGCUCUCAGGAGUGCAUCUUUCUUUUAACAGAGGAGAACCAAUGACCCGUAGCUUUUUUAGUUUGGUGAGACUUCUCAUGGCAUCCUCAGAGGGCAGAUGUCGAAGCUCUUUGAAACCAAUUAAAUAAAGCUCUUCAAGAGCAGCGGAGUUUCCGAACCAAUCUGGCAGAGCUUUUACACCUCCAAAAUCACGUAGCAUUAGUGACGUCAGAGUGGUCAAGUAUUGGAUCUGAGGUGGCAGGGACUCCAUGUGUGGCAACCCAUAUAAUUCUAAUUCAUGGAGUGCGGAUGACGAAGAGGAGGAGGAGGAGGAUAUCAAUCCAGACCAAUCAAACUCAUUGUAAAUUGAAGAAUUUUCAUGAUCAUCACCAUCAUCAUCUGAGAAGGGACCAAUUGCAAGCUCCCUUAAGCUGGUUAGGAAACCAAAUCCUUUGGGCGUCAUGCUUGUUUUCAGUUUGGGACAGCAGUAUAAUUCCAGCUCCAAGAGAGAAGGCGUUUGUUGCAAAUCAAGCGGAAAGGAGAUAAGAUUGUCGCAAUGAGACACCCAAAGCUUCUGGAGAGAGGCACAAGAGUGUAGCAUGUCACCUGGCAGAGUCGUCAACCCACUGCAACGAUAAAUCUCCAGCUCUUUAAGAGACGUAAAGUUUUGCAGGGGAAGGAGUUCUCUGCAUCUGUUGCAGAAAUUAAAUGCCAAACUCGCUAACUUGGGGAGUGCUGUUGCUGACUCGGGGAGCGUUGUUGUUGUUGGCAAAUCCAUUAACCAUCGAGGAAAUUGAUCGCCCAUAAAAUUCCAAAUUACCAACUCCUCCAAUUUUGGAUGGGGUCGAAGGCCAUCUAACACAUCUUCGUCAUUGUAGUCGUCGCCUUCUCGAUCAGGGGCCCACUCAAGAUACAGCCUAAAUAGAUUUGCCUUUUCAGAUAGUUUUGCUUCCUCGGCUCCUUCCUUAUCCUUUACUAGUUCCAGAUUGCGUAUCCUCAAUUUGCCUUUGAGGUUCUUCAAGCUUCCAAGCUCUCCAAUUCGUCGACCCUUCUCUCGACCCACGUUAAAGAACUCUAGCGUCUGAAGGCAAGUCAGUUGUCCCAUCUCUAGCGGCAUUUGAAAUUCUUUAUCACUUUUGUAAUAGUGGAGAUGUCUCAAGCUAAUCAAAUCGCACGUUCCCUUCGGAAGAUCUUUAACAUUUGAGCCACUUAGCGCCAAUGUCUGCAGAUUAUAAAGCUUGCAAAGAGAGUUUGGCAAAAUACUGAUUUCAGACCACUCAAGGUUUACAUACCGCAAAUGUAUCAGUUUGCCAAUUGAGACUGGUAGCUCUCGAGUUCUUGUACGAGACAAAUUCAAAACAUACAAGUUCUUCAACUUCAUUAACAUAUCACCAGAUAAGUAACCAUUUACGAUGAAUAAUGUAUGAAGCGAAGUUGAUAGACUCUCCAAAAGUUUUUCUCUGUCUUCUCCACCACCAAAUGAGUCUGUUGCAAGGUAACGAAUCUGAUUACCAUUGUCUAUUAUCUGAGCAUCCCCACUAUUAAAGACUUUGGUAGACUUUGAUAUUAACUCUACAAGGUCGUGCACUAGAUCAUGCAUCUUAUAAGAUGCUGAUGUUUCUGACUCAUCUAUUAUUUCUUCCAACAACGAACUCUGCAAUAAAAUUCUCAAAUAAUUCAUUCCAAUUUCCUCCAUCAUCAUUUGGCUGUUGAGAUCUCCUUGGAGGAAACCUUCUGCCAUCCAAAGUUCGAUGAGCAUAUCUCCUUCCAUCUCAGUAUCCUUGGGAAAAAUAGAACAAUAUGCAAAACAUUUCUUAAUGUUUGGAGAUGGCAAAUUAUCAAAACUCAACUUAAGUAUUUGCAUGACAGGAUCUUCAUCUCCACUAAGCCUAAAGAGCCUAUUCUCCAAAAUUGAUUGCCACUCCUCUUUUCUCUUUAAACGUAACAGACCUCCGAUUACACUUGCAGCCAAUGGUAGACCAUCACAUCUUUUGAUUAUUCUCUCUUUAAUUGCUUUUAGUUCAUAAGGUACUUCUCCCCCUCCAACUACUUUUUCUUUUAGGAUAGACCAGCAAAGAUUAUCAGGUAGCCUUCCUAAGGCAUAGGCUUCAUCAUCCAUCAUCAAAGCUCCAGACACAAUAUCUGCCACCUGACCAAUACGAGUAGUGACAAGACACCAGCUUCCAUUGGUUGGAUUGAGUCCCCUCAAGGUGGUGAAAAAGUCAUCCCACAAUGCCUGAUCAUCAUCCCACACAUCAUCAAGAACUAGGAAAUAUCUUUUUCCCCCAAGUUGAUUCCCAAUUUUUCCAACGAUGACAUUCCUAUCUUCCACUUCAACCUUUUCUUCCACUUCAACCUUUUUUUCGGUCAAUUGCAAUAAAAUGAGUUUGAAAAGAUCCAGUAUCGGAGCUUUUUUUGAUACACAAACCCAAAUUUUUUUGUUAAAGUGCUCAUCAAUUUGCUUGUUGUUGUAUAUCGAUUUAGCCAAAGUUGUUUUGCCUAGACCUCCCAUACCAGUUAUGGGAAGACAAGAAACAACCUUCUCGGAUGGGCUCAACAGCAUCUUGACUAUCUUUGAUUCAUCAUCGGCUCUUCCAAUCAUUGGAGCAACAACAGAGUCGGUCUGCCGAUUUCUUUUGUCUCCAGCAUCAGCAGCAGCAGGGAGGGCAGCUGUCAUGACUGCCCUCUCGAACAGUCCCAAAUCACUGGCUUCUUGAUUGAUCUCAUUCAGCUUAAGUUUGAUGCCCCUGACCUUAGAAGCCAUUCUCCAACGGAAAGCAAGAUUAGUGUUAGAGAAGGAGAAGAAGCAGCAUACCUUUCGCUUGUGCUGGUUUCGGGACUCCACCUGGUGACGAAGAGAUUCAUAGUUGAGCUCAUCCAACACAUUGCCAGCAUCAUAAGCCACUUCCUCCAGACUCUUCAACCAUUCUUGCACUCCCCGGUCCUGGUUUUGUUGCCUUUCCUCAGCAUCAGCCAAGAGAGCAUUGAUAAAGCGAAGAGAUCGUGUCAUGCUGGCCACAUCCUUCUUGAACCCAACUAACAUACCAAUCCUAUCAGUGGCAAGAGAUACUGCCGUCUCCAAGGCAACCUGAAUAGUGGCACUAAUGACAGCGUCAGCCAUUUUUCCUUUCCUUGUAUGGAGCUUAAUUGCUAGGAUGUUUUGUUGAUAUCAGAUUGGUGAUUUCCUUGUAUGUAUGUAGCUUGCUAGGAUGCUUUUGGCUAUCAGAUUAUAAAGAUGGAGAUGGACAGAAGGGUAGAGGCCUUGGUCAAAGUUACAGUAGAAAAGUUAUUAACAAUAGUAGGUACAGUAGAAUUGACAUUUCCGUCUAAAAUAUUAACAAUAGCACUAGUAGAAAAGAUACUGAAGUGUUUGUGUCUCAAUUCUCCAUUGUUAUUAUAUGAAUAUUAGGGCGGCUUUGCCAUCUCAAUUAUUUCACCUGCACCUACAUAUUAUCUGUAUAGACUACCAUGUCCAUUGGGUGAGAAUUUUGGUGCCUUAAUAAUAUAAACUCAUGUGAUGUUAAAAACAAAAAAGAAAAAAAAAAGAAUAGGGAGAUUGACGGAUAAAGUAACCUAUUUGUCAAGCUAAAAACAGAGAAACAAGCUGAAAAAUGACGCUGUUGACUUUUGAGUUGCUGAAAUUUGUUCCUUAAACAAUCUCUUUUGUACAGUUUGGUAUGAAACUUUUUUUGUUAAUUUAGUUUUUUUGUUAAUGGAAGGUAGUAUUUCAUUAUCUAUUUUUGGACAACUUUGAAGUACAUAACUAUUUGAAAUCAUGGGAGCCAAUACUCUUCUAAUUACUUAGAAUGAAUGUUUCUUUAUGCCUAUUUCAGUUGGGGUUAGUUUUGGAAUAAAAAACGAUAAUGUCACUCAGAAUCUUGAAAUUAUUAACAUUGGAGGUAAAUGAGGGGUAAAAUAUAUAUAUAAAUGAAUAAUAUAUAUAUUUAUAUAGAAAUGGAUGGGUCAGGUUCGUGUCUCAACAAGUGUAUACAGAAAAUUCCUAAACAAAUUAUCCAAUGGAUUUUCCACCGAAGUUACCUGGCGUUUCACUUGAAAGUUUCUUAAUCAAUGCUGGGCUUUUCUUCUGUUUCUUUUUCUUUUUUUUUUUUUUUGAAUUGCUUGCUCCUUUUGUACUUGAAUGGUGGGCCUUUGAUUGUGGAAAAAUAAAUAAAUAAAUAAAUCUGCAGUGCUGUUGCGACAUUGAUUAGCUGACAAACAACAUUGCGACUAGAAAAGUAGUAUAUAUAUAGAACUGAGAAAAGUAGUCACUUUUGCCUCUCAACUCUUAAUUGUUAUAAUAUUAGGGCGGCUUGGCCUUCUCAAUUAUUGCACCUGCACCACCAACAAGUGUGUCCAGAUAAAAAAUCUAAAGAAAUUAUUGAGGUUUCACGGUCUGUGAAACGAUGAGAGUACUGAGUGUUCGGAUCAGGAUGAGUUUUGCAGCAUGGAAGGUAUCAGUAGCAUUGCAAGGGCUUGCUCUUCGCAAGUAAAAGUCUACUGAGUGUAAAGAUGCUCGGCUAGUCAAGUCAGCUCCAUUUUAAAUAUUUUUAAUAAUUUUUAUUUCGUGCAUUCCUCUAAUAUUUCUUUUUUUUUUACAUUUAUUAAAGUGAAAUGUUCAAUUUAUCCAUUUUAAAAUAGGGAGAUAGUUUCACAAACCUCCCUUGAGGUUUUUGACAAUUUUAUUGCACUGCUUCAACGUUUUAAAACUGACACUUACCUUCCUUAUCAACAUAAAACGACAAUACUAAUGUUAACAUUUUAAUAAAACUCCCAUAUUGGGUGUGCAUAUACAAAGAAUGGGAUUUAUAAUUGUUUUUUCUUUUUCUUUUCCUUUUCUCUUCUUAUUCCUUUUUUUUUUUUUGUAUUUUUGCUAGUGAACCCAUAGAAAGCUAUAAUCACCGACUCCAAAUGUUGAAUUGGUGACUUUUUUUAACAACUUUGAAUGCCAUCCAAUUUUUAUUUGUCAAUAUUUUUUUUUCAAUCAAAAGGAACACCAGCUCAAAAAGAAAUGCUCAAAACGACUACCAAAAUAUGGUAAUUCCAUCAACUAAAAUGCAGUAUGAUGAUGAUAAUUUCUUCUUCAAUUUAGAAAGAAAAUGUAUCCCCUGUAAAGCACCAUUCUAUCAUAAUGUGAAGCUAUUGGUCGUAAAUGCUUAUCAAACAAUAGAUUUGGUAAUGAAAACUUGACACCCUUUCCUUAUAUUUGUGCUAAGAAUUGCUAAUUGAGGAAAAUUAGCAUCACGAAUAAAAUUCUUUUUUUUUUUUGGUAGUUGCUAACAUAAUUAUUGACAGUUUGAAGGCCCCAUAUUCACAGCAACAAAUCACAAGCUUAGGCCAGCGGAGACAGAGAGUAUCAAAGGAGGUUGCCAUGAUGUAUUAUUUCAACAAGGAAUCCAAGGAUUUUCAAAUGUAAAAAAAUACUGGAAAAAAUGGUAGGGACAAGUACAACUGCUGGCAUUUCCACAUAGAAUAUUAUUACACCAGUUGAAAAAUUACAGAAGUGCAUGGCUAUAUCAAUUAUUGCACCUAAAAUAUAACAAGUGUGCACAGAAAAAAUGUAAAGAAAUUAUUGCAUCUGCAAUAAGAAGUGGUAUUCUCAGCGUAGAAGAAGAUUGCUUCUCUUCACAAACUUGAAUACAUUUUCCACCGAAGUUGGUUGGCGUUUUACUUGGAUUGUUAUUGCUUGAUCUCAUGGUGUUAGCAAAAACAAUCCUUCAACGAUCAACUCAAACUCAAACACAAAUCAAAAUGCACUCAACAAAAUAAAAUGAAAUUAGAAAUAAAUAAUUAUUGUUACAGCUGGAGGCUUCAGUUCACGCUGAUGCCACGCCAGACCAGGCCCCUUGGGUUGCUGAAAAAACUCUUGAUUGUUAUAAUAUUAGGGCGGCUUGGCCAUCUCAAUUAUUGCACCUGCGCCAACAAGUGCGUCCAGAAAAAAAAAAGGCUAAAGAAAUUAUCGAAUGAGGUUUUAUGAUCAGCCAAUUUUGUUCCUGUGAAAUGAUCCGGAUGAGUUUUGCAGCAUGGAAGGGCUUAGUAGCUCGGACUUGCUCUUGACAAGUAGAAGUCCUCAUGGGAAAUCCUAAGGAUAAUUUCGUAUAGCUGCGAACAAAUCGCCCAAAGUUUGACUCGGCAGUCGAGGUGAGUAUGCCGAAUGUAGAGAUACUCGACUCUUUAAGCUGGCUUGAUUUUACAUAUUUUUAAUGAUUUUUAUUGCAUGCAUUUCUCUUAGAUUUUUCUUAUUUAUUAGAGUGAAAUGUCUAAUUUACCUAUUUUAAAAUAUUAUAAAUACUACUUAUUAUCUUCAGUCAAGUUCAGUGUAUUCUUGUUUGAUUGGAACUUAAUACAUCAUCAAAACAUCAUAUUGUGCACGCACAGAAUGUAGAUAUCUUUGGAAAAUAAUUUAUCUAUGCAAUACAAAACCACUCACAACUCAGGACACCAUAGAGCAGAUGAUAAGGCUAACUGGAAAAUGGCAUGACACCUUUGUUUAGUCAAUUAAUUAUUCACAGAGCUAAAUCAAUAGUUGGUGUUGCUGUUGUGCUUUUCUAACCUGAAAUUAGUAAGCAAAUACCAAUUCUUUCUGCUCAGAGAGUAGAGAAAAAUUGGACGAAGAUACAAAAGAAAAGGGUCGAAGUUUUGGUCAAAGUUUCUUUUUCUUCUUUUUUUUCCCCCUUACUUGGUAUGAAUUAUGAUGCCACUUGCUUAAUUAUACACAAAGCUAAAUCAAUAGUUUUCUCUUGGAUAUUAAGAAAGACAUGUUGCUACAUAAACAAAAAAAUUUUCUUACUUGGUAUGAAUUAUGAAGCCACUUGCUUCUUCAUCGAAUCUUGCUUGAUUUUAGUUAAUUAUGGUUACAGAGGCUACUUAGUUUACGCUAAUGCUGGGGCCUUGGGAUGCUCAAAAGGUCUAAUCCUUGGUAUUUACAUAAAAAGCUGAAAACAAAGGUAGGUAGAGUACAACUAGCAUUUCCACCUAAAAUAUUAGCAAUAACAAUUGUAGACAAAUUCUCAAUUGUUACAUUAGAGCGGCUUUGCUAUCUCAAUUAUUGCACCUAAAACAACAAGAAGUGGUCUUCUCAGCGUCGAAGAAGAGAGUGCUUCUUUUGACAAACUUGAAUGCAUUUUCCACCAAAACUGACUGGAGUUUUACUCGAAUUUUUCUAAAUCAAUGCUGGGUAUUUUUUGUUCUUUAUUACUUUUUUUUUUGAAAAAAAAUGUUCCUCACAUUUCAUUAGAUGAAUUUUUUUCAAAUAUAAUUUUUAAAAGGGCAAAUUUCACUUUAACCCCUGUGGUUUAGUGCUUUUUUACAUAACUCUCCUAUGGUUUUAAAAACUAUACAUAACUCUCUCAUGGUUUGGAUUAAAGUGUCAAAAUAACGGAAAUGAUCAUUCAUAAUGGAAUCAUUUAAAAUGUCAAAAUAUUCUUGUGUAAAGUUGAAUAUUUUUUAUUAACCAAGGGGAGUUAUGUAUAUAUUUUGAAAAUCAUAAGGGGUUAUAUGGUAAAGUAUUAAUGUGACGACCCCACCUCCCCAUAAGGCGAACCAGAGGGUUUGGCGAACCGCCUGCCCAACUCUCGCCGGGACUCAGUCGAUCACUUCAAGCAACCACCGGAAUAACCAUAAAAUAACAUGAUAACGAUCCAAUCAAAACAAAACUUAUGUACAUAGAUAUCUUUAAAAGGAAGUACAACCGUCAAAUAUACAGAGGUUCUCAAUUCCAUACAACCAACCCGUGCCAAGCACUAGGGCGAGAACCACUACAAAAGAUUCAAAAGUACUAGUUCGGCUAGUCUAUACUUAGCUUCCGUCCUCGCACGUCUUCCCCUGCUAAGGAAAACAAAACUAACGGGGUGAGCUAUAAGCUCAGUGAGGUUCCGAACACAUAGGCAAACAAGAAGUUCAUUUCAUUCAUUACAUGUAACCAAUAAUUCAAGAUACAAAUAUUAGAUAAAGCGAUAAACACAUUCAAUAAAAGGAUACAAUCUCACAAGGAGCCAUUCAUUCAUUCCUUCAUUCAUUCAUUCAUUCUCCUUUCAUUCCCUUAUUCCUCCAAUCAUUUGAAAAUGCAUUUUCUUUUGUAAUUAAAACCCUCAAUCAUUCAUGCAAUCAUUCAUUUCAUUCACCCCCUUCCCGGACAUUGGCCAGGCUCCACCAGACUUCAAGGUAAUACUCGAGUAUACCGAAACGUUCACCCAAGUCCCUAAUUGCCCGACCGAGUCCGCUUCUGGCUCGAGACGACCGGUAACAAGGGGCAAUGGCCAGUUCAGCCAAAAGGCUUACAUUCACGCACAAUUAACAUUCCAAUCGUUCAAUCAUUGAAAACUUCACAAUCAUUUAGGCUAAGUGCGAUAAAGUACACACUUGCCUAGAAAACUCAUUUUAGCAAUCAUUGAAAGCAUUUAACAUGUUAUCAAUCAUUCAUACCAGCCAUGUAAUCAUGUAACAUAACAAACAAGGAACACUCACCUAUACACGCAAAACAACGUCCAAAAUACCCCACCGGGUAUUACCCUCAGUCACCAAGGAAACCUAAUAUCAAACAAGAGAAAAUAUUACCAUUUAUCUAGUAAAACAAGUAGGUGAAAUCAAGGGACUCGACUAAUUACGAGUAAAACGGAUAAAGGUGGCUGUAAGGUGAUAAGAGAGUAUUUUGACCUGUGGUCGGAAACAACUAGGGCUUCAUACACCAAAUACAAGACCAAAUCAAAAGGAUUAUGAAUUUCCAACGGAAACAUUUGACCAAAGAUAAGUCAAAAUCCAAAUAGAUAGGUCAAGGAAAUACUCUUUCUAAAUCGUUUGUGUAGCUAAGAGUCAAUAUAUAUUCAAGUAGAGGUUAUAUAGUAAAAGGCUAAAUGAAAUCAUAUAGAAAAGGACAUUUAAAACCCUUAUUUGAAAGUAGUCCACGUGUGGCCGAGACAACCUUAACUUGGCCGAUAAAACCCCUAAUUCACACCUCUUUAUUUUGAAUACGGGGUAAGUAAACAUUUGGUGGUUCAAACCGAAGAGGUAUCAUGUUUUCGAAUGGUAAAACGGUCACAUUAGUUGCCUUGCGGAAAUAUACAAGUUUAACUAGAACUUAGCCCUCGAAUCCCUAUUUGAAAGACCCAAUGAAAUUCUCAAGGAAAUACACCCAAUUUGAUACAAAAUACAUUUCCAAAACCACUUUAACUCAUUCAAUUUCCAAGAAAAUAAAUGGACGGCAUAUCCCCUUAAAUUUUACAUUUUCACCCUAUAAUACAAAAACCCACAACUCAUAGCAAUUAACCAAUAUCACAUACACAAUUAACAAGCAAUAAAACACACUCAAUUAGGCCACAAAACCUUUCAAUCAAGGCCACUUACAAGCUUAUAAGCCAACCUUAGAAAUUCCCCAAAUGAAACCCUAGAAACCGGAAAUUCACCAACAAGCGGAAAUUUUCCGCAUCCAACCGCAAUUAACGUAGAAGAGCUUCCAUUAACACCAUUUAAACCACUAAUCCAAGUCCAAUCCAAGACUAUCAUAUAAAAUCAGAAAAAUGCUCAAUAAAUUGGAAAAUCACCAUAAAUUCCUUAAACCCAUAAAAUACUCCACACAAUAGCAUAAAUACCAUCUCUAAACCACCAAUCGGUUAUUAAUUGAAGAAAAUAAGAAGUUCUUAGCAAAAUACCUUCAAACCUCAAGAAAAGUGAUAGCUUGGAGCUUCCUCUCCCAAGACAACUCCACCACUAGCUUUAAACCUCUAUAAUACACACUUGUAUGGAGUGAAUUAAAAAACUAACGGUUAAAACUUGAGAUUCAAAGAAGGAAAUCAAAGGGAAGAAAAUGGAAAAGUUUCUCUUGUUUUUCCCCCAAGAGAGCCGGCAAGAAGGAAGCAAAAAUGAGGACAAACAGCAGCCAAAAUCAGAUAUUUAUGAAGGAAACAGCCGGUCAAAGCUUCUGACCGGCUGUGACACGUCACAAUCCGGCCGGAAUCUGGCCGGAUUUCCGGCCGGAUUCCUGGCCGGAUACAGGGCAGAGACUUCGACCCUUUUUUUUUCAAAACUGCACAACAAUCCGGCCAGCAAUCCGGCCAAGAACUGGCCGGAUUUCCUGCCGGAUUCAGUCCUGCAUCCUUUUCAAAAAUUUUUUCCUUUUCCCCAAGUUUGAUUGCCACGCUCAAUCGUACUUCUAACACAUACACAUACAUACACAUCUCACACAUAAAUGCACACAACCACAAGGCCUUCCUUUGAUUCAAACGAUUAGUGAACAAAUUUUCAUUUGAACGGGAGCGAAACUAAACCAAAACGCUUGGAAAAAUAUGCAAGGUUUGGGGUUCUCACAAUUAAACCAUAAAGAGAUUAUAUAGGAAAACAUAAAAUUCAUAUGGAGUUAGUGUGUCAUGUAUUUAUAAGGGUAAUUUUGAUAUUUUCAAAAGUUUCAUUAUGAAUGACUAUUUCCAUCACUUUGACACUUUAAUUCAAAUCAUAAGAGAGUUAUGUAUAGUUUUGAAAACAAUAAGGGAGUUAUGUAGAAAAACACUAAACCACAAAGAGUUAAAGUGUAAUUUGCCCAUUUUAAAGUAUUGAUUUUAUGUCGCUUACAAAAUCAAGGCAGCCAAUUUUAGUUGCAACCUGGGCCUUCAACCACUGAAUACACGAAGUGAUCCACUACGUGAUCAUUGUUUUAGGUGCAAAAAUAUUUUUUUCUAAAAAUUAAAAGAAACUACAAAAAAUUGAAAAAAAAAAUACUAGCAAGGAGGAGUGAGAUGUAAGAAACAUUUAAGUAGCAGGAGUUUUAAACCUAGGACCUUUAAUUCUUGUAGUUUCACCUUUAACUAAUUGACCAAGUCUCUUUCCCACAUAAAGGCUAUUAUUUCUGGGCAUUAAUAUGAUUUCAUUAAAUUUUUGGACCGAAUCUUUGUGCUGUUAAAUAUUUUAUACAUCCAUCUUGGGGAGCAAAUCGUAUAUAUCUUUUUUUUUUUUGAAAAAUAAAUUGUAUAUAUCUUUAGUUUCCCUCGCCACUUUAGUUUCCUUUUCUCUUCUAUUUCCAAUUUCUCUUUAGUUAUGUUUCCUUGUUGCAAGGCUUGCAAAACUAUAUAAGAUAUUUGUUAUCGAUUUCUUUGAUUCCUAAAACACAAGAAAUUUUUCAUUCCUAAUAUGUAUUCUUGUUUAAUUGUUUAAUUGAUUGUUAAAAGAUAUUAGUAAAGAAUUUUAGAUCCAAUUCGGUGCAGUGCUCCUUUGACAAACUGAAUCGGAUGCUUUUGCAACGGAAGUCGAUUCGCAUUUUCAAUUCACCUUUCUUAAUGGUAUGGUCGUUGCUGGGAUUCUUCAUCUGCUUUUGAUCCGCACGCUUACAGAAAAUGCCAAUCAUCAUUGAGACUCCUGAUAAAUCUCACGAUGAAUAAUUUCUUGGGACAUGAACCUACGAUGAAUAAUUUCAUCUAAAUGGCUGAUCCUUGGUGGAUCAGAUUUCAAACAUAAUUUAAGUACGCCUUACUUUUUGGUUUGCUUUCUGCAGGGGAUUAUGCUAACAGUACUGUGGCAGUGUGGCUUAAAAUCCUCCAAUUUCUUUAAAAUCCAGAGACACCCACAGUUCUCCAUUUCCUUUUGUGAAUUUUGCAACAUUAAUUACCUCAUUCUCUAAUCCUUGGGAAAUAGGCUAAAAACUGAAAAAAAAAUAUAAUAAUAAUCGCUAGUUUAGUUAUCAAAAACAUGAAGUGGAGCUAGUAAUCAGGCUUGACACGUAGCUACAUAAUUGUUUCUUGGUUAGAGAAGUAGUUAACGGGCGCACUUUAAUUAUCGAGACACUAAUGAAAAACUGGUUGUUUAUCACGUGUAUGACAACUAUAAUCGAUUUAUUAGCAAAUAAUUGAGAUAAUUAUUGCAUUGAUGAUUAGUUAUUUGAACCACUUUCGGAGUUAUGUCUUUGGCUAGAGCUUGUUUAUUCUUAAGUUGAAUUUAAUUUGCUUUAUUUUAAUUAUUUUCAGUCACAUUGAUUAUUGACUUUAGUUUUAAUUCUCCAAACCUCCCUCCCCCCCCCCCCCCCCCACAACACCAAUUAGCUUUUACUUAGAAAGAAAUAGAUUUUUUCUCUAAUUCCUGUGGAGACGACCCUACUUGUCAUUAUACUCGUUUAUAUCUUUUUGUGAGUAGAAAUUUAUUAUUGCACAGACAACACUCUUGUCAUCUAGCACUUUAAAACAUCAGACAUUUUGAAGCAAAUGUCUCGUUUAUGUACAGUAUACAAAAAUUAAGUGGUGAAAAUUUGAGUUUGUUUAUUAUGAAAAAUUGGAGAUCCCUUGUAUUCAUCUUUGUUCCUCCAUUUCACAAUUAGUUUGCAUGCAUUUUAAUGGUGAAUUUGUCCACAAUUUAUAAUCAUUUAAUAAAACAUUUUGUAAUGACAUCGAAAAUCCACUUUGAGGGUAAUUGAGGCAGCUCUCUUUUAAAUAAAUCAUGAAAAAGAAAAUGCUACAGCUGAUUGACAGUUUGAACUUUGGAGGCACCAUAUUCACAGCAGCAAAUCACAAGCUUUGGUUUAUCCAGCUGAGACAUGAAGAAAAAAGAUAGCGCAGAGAUGUGAUCCAGCUAAGAAUCAAACGAAUUUCAAAAGGCAGUAAUACUAAUUAGGGGCCAACAAGGUUUAUCCAAUAAGCUUUCUCGAUCGGCUUAGAAAAAAGAGUAAUGCUUCAAUUCCUCCAAAGCUCCUACUGGGCGUUUCACUUGAAAGUUUCCAAGUCAGUGCUGGGCUUUUCUUACUGCUUCUUUUCCUUUUUCGAAUUGUUCGCUCCUUUUGUGCUCGAAUGCCGAGCCUUUGAUUUGUGGAAAAAUAAUUUAGUGAGUAAAUUCCAGCACUUGGUUUUCAAUGUCAAAGACCUCGAAUGUUCUGGUGAUUCUUGGAGUAGAAAUCAAAAGAGGAAAACUAUUACUUCGAUCCUUAAUUUUUUUUUUACUUCGAUCCUUAAUUAAUAAAGGAGUACAAUUAUCCUGUUUUGUGAGAAAUUUUAAGUGGCAUGGCACAAAUGUUAAAAUCCCAUGCUUCAGCUCAACUUCUAACGACUAGUAACAUGUCAUGUGCUUUGCGCCGUGAUCAUAUUAACCUAACAUAUAACAUCAUAGAGAUACUAAAUCCUUUGUUAAAUUUUGACUUUAAGCAUCAAAAUAGAGCAAUUCUUUUGGUUUUCAGUUUCUUUAACUAGUUCUUUGAAAAAUACUAGUUUAGAUGUACAUGUAUUGCACGCUGCAGUUGCUAUGACUAAUAACUUAUUCAAAAUUCUUUAAACAAUUGAACUUUAAGUAAAUGAAACAAACCUUCAACGAAGAACUCAAAUUCAUAUAUAAAUCAAAAUGCACUCUUCUAGUAACCACUCCAACACUAUAUAGUCUUGACAAAUAGACCAUAGAAUUCAAACAGAACAGUAAAAUGUAAUAAGAAAUAAAUGGGCUAUGGAGGUUCUGAUUUAAUGAUUAAAGUACUUAAAGAAUAAAAGGUCCUAGAUUCAAUUCUCUGAAUUUUUACUUCUCAUGUAUGAAAAUAAAGUAUGAACAUAAAAAUGAGCUAACCUAAUGUUUCAAAAAAAAAAAAAGAAAAAGAAACCACCUAAAAAUACAAAGGAUCCUCCGUUAAGAAUUUAUCUUCAUACCCUUUGCAAGGUCAUUGAAAACACACUUUGAAGGUACUUGACGUUACCCUGUUUUUAAAUAAAAUUAUUAGACAUUAGAAAAUAUAGAGGCAAGAAUUAUUAAAGCCGGAAAUUUAAGAGGUACUUUGAAGACAUCAAAAAUACGCUUUGAAGGUACUUGAGGCAAACCCUUUUUGUUAAAUAAAUCAUUAGCAUUAGAAAAUUAAGAGGCAAGAAUUAUUAAAAAAAUCUACCUAAUAUUCCUUUUAGGAUAAAUUUUGUAUACACAGAUAGUAUAUAUACAAUCGAGGCUGAAUACAUGCUACCUUUACUGUGGAAGAAAUAAGUACAUCAGCAAUUCUUUUUGUUCCUUGGAUACUUUUUGCAGUGGAAGGUUUUUGCUCUGGGUGGAAGCAGUAAGGAACUAUUCUUUGCUUUAGCAGAAGCAACAAGACUUACAAGACUUUGACAAGCUUGUAUGCUUUUGCAACAGGGAAGAGGUUUCUACUUGAUCCGGGGCCUCACAAUUUAUGUUUUAUACAAUUUUGUACAAGUUGAUCUUUGGUGUAAAUUAGUCGGAUUUCGGUGUAAAUCAUAUCCAGUUUAAUGUAAAUCAGGUGCAGUUCAGUGUAUAGUAAUUUGUUAUUAUUUGGUAUAAAUCAAAGACACUUGGAUAUAAGUUGAUUAUUAUCAUUUAGUGUAAGUUAAGGUCAAUUUGAUGUAAAUUGAGAGUAAAUUGUUAAUUUACAUCAACUUAUACAUAAUGGAACUUGUGAGGCCUAUUUCCUUCAUAGAACUUGUCAGGCCUGUAAUUUUGGUAUCCAAAUUUUGAUACGUGAGCAGUUUUAAUCUCCAAACUUUGGACAAACACAAAUAUGGUACUCAAACUUUCAAUAUUUGAACACAUUUAGUAGCCUUAGUGAUUUUUUUCCAAAUUGUUACUUGAAAGAGUCGCGUGAUUACACUUUACCCUCCUAUGGUAUAACUAAUUUUCACAUAACCUUCUGUAUUUUUAAAAGCUAUAUAUAACCUCUUUAUAGUUUGGACUACAUUAUCAAAGUGACGGAAAUAAUCAUUUGUAAUAAAAUCUAUGAAAAUGUCAAAAUUACCAAAAUAUAGAAAUAUAAUAUGCAUGACACUCUAACCCCAUAUGAUUUUAUUUUUUACCAUAUAACCCUUUAUAAUUUAAUGUUUUAUCAUAUUACUCCCUUAUGGUUUUCAAUAUAUAUACAUAAUCCCCUGUGGUUAAUAAAUAAUUUUCAACUUUUCAUAGAGGUAUUUUUAUAUUUUAGUUGUCUCUGUUAUGGAUUGCAAAUUCCGUCACUUUGAUAUUUUAAUUCAAAUCAUGAGGGGGUUAUAUAUAGAUUUUGACACCAUAGUGAGAUUAUAUAAGAAAACACUAAAUCACAAGAGAGUAAAGUAUAAUUUGUCCUAAAUUAAAAUAUUAAGUUUUUUGUUAUGGUUAACAGUCAUAGAGGGUAAGUUGGUUAUUUGACUAUAAGGCAAUUUAUAUUAUAUAAAAUGGGAAAAUAGAAAAUCUUUUUCUCUUCUUUCCAUCCAUACGCCUUACAAUGUAUCUCUUUUUUGUAUUUUUUGGUUAAAACAUUGUAUCUCCUUCUCACCACUUGACCUUCCCUUUUCUUUUUUUUUCUUUUUUUUAAACUUUGUUCCCAUUCACCUCUGAAUCACCCAUAAAUUAGUACUAUUCAAACCCAAAAUCUUAUGACCCAAAAUGAUGGCGUCUUCAAAAUUUCAGAAAUGGAUGGAAUCCUUGAUCUACUUCUUCAUUCGUGCAUAUAUGAUAUUUCUGUCCAUGGCGCCAGCCUAUUUAUGCCAAGUAAUUCCGUGCGGUGGCUGCUUGUGGUGCACAGGAGCGGUUAUAUGGAGAAGAUGAUAUGAGAAAAGAUGACCGUACCUGUGAUUUGGUAUUUUACUACAUAACCCUUUUAUAGUUUAAAAAUUUAUAUAUGAUUUCUUCAUAAUUUGAAUUAAAGUGUUACCAUCAUUUUUUUCCGUUAAAACUAACAGUCAAUAGUAAAAAUCAAAGUCAAACUAAUAAAUAGACAAAUUCACAUUUUCACUACAUUUCUUUCCUUUCUUUCUUUUUUUCUUUUCUUUUCUUUCUUUCUCUCCCUCUUUUUUUUUUUUUUUGGAAGAGAAGAGAUGAUUUAAAAUCUGUACUUUGGCUUAUAAAAUCUUAAUUUUCUCCGGGUAUUAAAAAAAAGGAAGGGAAAUGAAAAAUAAAUAAUUAAGAAAUCGAAAAGAUGGAAGGAAAGUGAAAAAAAAUAAAUUAAUAAGAAAAAAACAUAGUAAAUAAGAAACGAAAGAUACCAAAUCAUUAUUGACUGCAAAUACCAUUAUAGGCUUUUAGACCAAAUCUUUUCUGGUAUUUUCUAUUUAUUAUUUAUUUAUUUUUACUUAAAUUUCUUCUUUUUUGUAUUUGGAGGAAAAAAAGGAAAGUAGUGAAAGAGUAAAUUUGUCAAUGUAUUAUUUUGAGUUUGAUUAUUUUUUCCUAUUGAUAGUUUUGAUGGAAAAACUAACGGUGACCCAUUAAGUCACACCAUGAGGAGGUUAUAUAUAGGCAUAUUAAGUCAAACCAUGAGGGCAAAAGGUAAUUUAUCUUAAUUAUUAUUUUGUUUGCUUAAAAUCUUUGAGAAUUUGGUCAAAGUCCAGAGACCACAAAGUGAUCAUUUCCAUACUACUUAUCUGGCUGGUUGGUUUAGUAUGGAGGAAUAUGUGUACUGGAUGUCCACCUCAAUAAUCAGACUCGGUCAUACAUCAUGUAAUUGGCCGCGAAUUGGAUUCUUUUCUUUGCAUUUUAACUUGUGAAAAUUGUUCAAAUAUUCGCUCAUACUUUAGGAAGUUUUCUAAAGCAUCAGCCAAGUGGAGAGAAGGAAUUUAAUAACUCAUAUCUUAGACCGUACUCUUCCGUUAGCCCCCUAUCCCAUUUAUAAUUAGUUUUCACACUCAAUGUGUCUUGGUUAUGUUUCAUGUGCAAGAUUUAAGUGGUGAAAAAAAUUUGAAGAGUUUUGUUUAACUGAAGUACAAUAUGCUUUUCCCAGGGAAGUUGCUUGGCCUUUUACUGAAAAAAAUUUCCCGGCUCAAUGCUGGAUUCCUUUUUUUUUUUUGGAUAAAAAACAAAAAAGCCCUCGUGGUAAAUCUAAUAUACAGAAAAGUCCCCAUGAUUUCAAAACGUACAACACGAGAUUUCAUAUUUUGAACUAAAUUGUAAAAGUAACGGAAUCCGAUAAACUUAAUGGAAAUGGACAAAAUGACAAAAAUGCCCUGAUAUAAUUGAGCAAAAGACAGCUCAACAAAAUCAUUUAUUUUAUUCUCUAGAGAGAGACAAUUAAGGGCUAAGGGGUAGAACAGGUAUAUUUGUUAAAAUUUAGGUAUAAUUUUUUUUUUUAAAAUUCCAAUAAGUCAUUUCCGUUAAACUUAACGGAUUCCAUCACCUUUACAAUUUAGUUCAAAAUAUGGGGUGUCGUGUUGUAUGUUUUGAAAUUAAGAGGAACUUUUCUGUAUAUUAGCUUUACCACAGGUUUUUUUUUUUGGCUUUUACCCUUUUUUUUAAGUUGCUUGUUUGUGUUAUCAUCUCCAUUACUUAAAACAUAUAUUAUUUGUUUGGGCAAAUUACAUUUCACCCCCCUGUGAUUUAGCGUUUUUUUACAUAACCCCCUUAUAGUUUCAAAAGCUAUACAUAACCUCCUCAUGGUUUGGAUUAAAGUGUCAAAGUGACGGAAAUAGUCAUUCGUAACGAAACUUCUAAAAAUGUCAAAAUUACCCUUAUAAAUACAUGACACACUAACCCCCCUUAUGGUUUAAUACUUUACCAUACAACUCCCUUAUGGUUUUCAAAAUAUACACAUAACCCCCCUUGGUUAAUAAAUAAUUUUCAACUUUACAUAAGGGUAUUUUUGACAUUUUAGGUGACUCCGUUAUGAAUGAUCAUUCCUGUCACUUUGAUACUUUAAUUCAGACCAUAAUGGGGUUAUAUAUAACUUUUGAAACUAUAGGGAUUAUGUAAAAACGCUAAACCACAGGGGGUAAAGGGGAAUUUGCCCUAUUUGUUUUGAAGGGACCAAAGUCCUGCAUUUGGUUUUGUGAAAAAGAGACCUCCUCCACAGUUUCCCAUGUGCAUUGGAUUUUGACUGUUGGCUAGCACGUUCAAACUUCCAAGUUUCUUAAACACAAGUACCUCCAGGAAUAGAGAAAAUACCAAAUUGAGGGUCGACUUCUACUUUGUAUAUUAUCAGCAAUCAGGUUUGGUUAGGCAGAGCCAAAGAAGAAGGAAGAUUUUCAGCAACUAGUAGGCAUUGUUCUGAAGCCGCGGAUUAAAAUGCAUACACAGAGUCAUGCCAGCAAAGAGAGAAUAUCUGAGAGCAUUCCAAUCAAAUAUCAGAGGAUAAAUUACAUACAAUCCCCUUGUAAUUUUGAAUAAUACCACAUUCAAAAUAGUCAUGCAAAGCAACAAGACGUUCAAUUCCAUCUGUAUAUAUAUGGCUAUAAGUGAUGUCCUGAAUCGAAAAAUGAUGGAGGAAACUGAACUGCGACAUGGACCGAUAAGAAUCAGAUACGUGAUAAUUGUUGAUUUCUUGCAAAAUGGCUACCCAAGAUAAUCUUGUACAUUUGGUUAUUUGAAACAGGACAUCGAUAAACAUCAAACCAAAACGCGAAUCCAAGUGCUAUUAAACAAGAAUCACAUUUUGUCAUGGAACUGAAAUGUUUCCUUUCCCACUUUACUUCCUACAUCGCCAAGGUGUACGCAGCCUCGAGAAGUACGAGGAUAUAUAUAUAUGUGUGUGUGUGUGUGUGUGUGUUUGCUGAGAAACGCAAGCCAAACCAGUACUGCCUCAUUCAUAAAUCAUAACUCCUUAGUCCUCUCCUUCCCCACCAAACCAAACGAAACCAACCAAAACCUACCCAUGGCUUCAUCUGACAAGCAAUUUAUAUCUAUAUAGCGGCCACAUACGUACGCCACCCUUUCAAAAUCUCAAUCUUCUCAUCCGCUUUUUUAUAUUCUGAUCGUUUAUCUUCUUCCUCGAAAAGACCAGCAUUAUUCUUCCAUAAACCAAGUUGUCUUUUGCUCAUCACCCCAUGGAUGAAUUACAUUUUUCUUUUUUUUUUGGGGCUUCAUGAUUGAGUAUCAACUAUCAGCUAUCAAUCUAAUGCUUUUCUAUGAUUCCAACUGCUAGUAACUUGGUAUUCUGAACCUUUAUAGCUUUCUUUAAUUCUUUCUUCCGUGUGUUUUUUUAUUUUCUUGUGACCAUAAAUAGCUGGCUUUAUGUUUUGUAUGUUUUGUCAAGCCGCCAUAGUCGAAAAAGUUAUUAGAAACGAUUCAUUAUUAGAGAAAAGACACAAGAAUUUGGGCUGGAGAAAUUGUCUGUGAUUAUGAUAAGUGAUAAUCUGUUCUAAUCCUUAUCAUAGAUGGAGACACAGGAACUUGAAAGUAUUCAACAAUCUCUCGUAUUCUCCUGAGUUUGAUCGUUAGCGGGAGUGUACAGUAUGGCAGUAGUAUGGUUAGUGUUUGGAAAAAGGUACCGCAGGAAAACUUGCCCUCAUGUUUUCUGAGUUUCUGGGGGUAUUCCUUAUUCUCCUGUUUGUAUAUGUAUAUUGUUUGAAAGUUUGAAAAUAUUAGCUUAGGAAAAAAGAAAAGUCUUCUUAUUUCCACUCUGAAUUGUUCCCUGCUGGAUGGAGGAACAAUGAAAUUCAUCAUCUAUCAGAGCAUACUCUUGUCAUAGAAAUUAUAGUUGAGAUUAGCUGAUUAUUUGUUGAUAAUGUAACUAGCCAUACUCUACUCUUGCAAUCCUCACGAUGGAUGAGGAUCUUGUUUCUGAUGAAUGCAAUUGAUUUAACCAGCAGAACGCCUGAAGUGAUGAAUAAGAUGACAAUUUGUUGAAUCUAACACGUUCAAUCUAUGGAAAAAAAGCAUCAUAAAGAGUGUUAUCAUGCACUGCAGGAAAGCAUAUUUGUGAGGCUAAGAUUUGGAGUGUAGUGUAAUGCAUUUUGUUUUUGCUUUGGCAUUGCUUAGGGCCUGCUUAAGAGCCAAGACAGACGAAGAGUAAGAGGAUUCACCUUUCAGGGGCAGCCGUUCAUGCCCUUUUUCUUUGGAGAGUAUGACAGUAAAGUACUAUUCCUUUUCCACACCUGUAGAGUCAGUUUGAGCUCCUUCCCAUUCCAACUUUGUGAAGUACUAAAAUCACAUCAUAAGUUCUUGAGCUACUCUUCAUCACUUCAGUCCUUAGCAUUGGAAAAAAUGGCUCCUCCAAGAAAUAGACGCAAAACGGUCUGGUUUUUACACUUGCAUCUUUUUUUUUUUCCUUCUGCAUUUGUUUAUUCAAAGAUUGAAUGUUGUGUGUUAUAUUGGUCUAGAGUUUACUGAUACGAAUUCAAUCAGGAAGUUGAUGUCGGUUUCAUUAAAUUAACAGAGAGUGAGCAUCAUACAGGGAGGCAUGACAAUAACAUUUAGUUCAGCAUAACGACAUUCAACACGAAUAGCCAAAUAUCUGAGGUUUGAGAAAUGACAGCAAUUGUUGCAGUCAAGCAAUGGCAAUGAAAGGGGGGACUACACAUCCAAAAGAAGGCACAACAAUAUGAUCAGCGUGGAACAAAAUUUGCAUUAUAAACUAAUUCAGAGCCAACUACAACGUCACAGAAGAACAGGCAAUAGACAUGAAACUUCCAAUACAAGCCCGUACACAUAAACCCCUGAUUACAAGGCAAACUAAUUUAAUCCUUUUCUUUGUAAUAUAGGGAGAAUUGGAAUACAGGGAUAACAACACUUUUUCCGUUUCCUAUUUGGUCUGACCACGGACAAAAGGACAUCUGGCCAAAUUAAAACAGAGAGGUCGAAGCUGCAAUCUUUGUGAUUUCAAGAACACAUCAUUAAAAAUAAUGUUCAUUACUACCAAUGAUGGUCAUCUUUCAUUUAAAUAGGUUUUGGGAACAUGUUCUGUUUCAAAUAUGUCUGGAAUUUUCUAUAUUUCUGCCUGAUUUCUUUCAUAACUUUUCACAGAAAAGAAAAGCACAUAUAAUAAGUAGAAAACACAAAACAGCAUUUCAGCUAAAAAGAGAGAUGCAUUUCUACAUUUCUGUGUAAUUUCUUUCCAUAAAUUUUCAUAACUAUCAUUAAGGGGAAACAAAAUUUCGAAUGAGUGAUCAAUACUUGAACUUUAUAAACGUCCAUGCACAAGUCUAACGUUGGCAAAUUUUGGGACUUGCGCAUAAUAUUUACUGUAGUUUCUUAGUUUGCCAGUGGGUGAAUAAUCUGCUAUCAUUCUAACCAUCAAAUGCUUCUAACCAUCAAGGCAGAUAGGCUGGAAAAGUUCUUUUGAAUGCAGUCCAAGAACUAAGUAGAAAUUGCUAAAACCAGUUACAUUGUUCGAAAAUUUAAAAAGAACAGAAAAAAAAAAGAAGGGAAAUUGGAACUGCUUAGAAUCAAAGAGAGAAGAGGGUCUUCUGAGAGCAGCACUAAUCGGAGGGGACAGCGCUAAUCCCUUCCCUUUUGUGUACUGAUACAGAUAUGAGAUGAUUUACUUAUAUUGGCCGUCAAAGUCUUAGAGGCAUAGAAAAGUAGAAAUGCUUUAAUUGUAACAUAUCCUGAGCUACAAUGAAAAUGAUUUGAGGCCAAGAUGUGUAAGAUCCAUGUCACAUUAUUGCUUCAUGGAACAAUACUGACGUACAAGGAGACAAGUUCACAUAGAAGUAAUUUUACAAAUAGAUGCAAUGUAAAAUGUCAGUUUGAUGAACUAAGGUUGACCUUGCAUGUUCCUAUUCCAUAAUUUCAUCUCUCCAACGUUCCCAUCCACCAAGCGGGAUCCUUUCUUGAAUAGAAAUUGGUGCCUUGGCAAGUGGGAUCCUUUGUGCUCUGAGGCCUGUCUGAGAUUUACAGAUACAAAGAGCAAUGGAAAAAGUAUCAUUGGGCACAACUUGUAGUCGACUGCAGAACAGUGAGAAAAAAUAUGUCGCCUGUUAUAGAGCUAAGAUACAACUUCAAGAAGGAUGCAAGCACCUAUCAGGGUUCAGCUAAUCCACAUCUUUCUGCUACUUUGAACUACAAGCAGUAUGGAAGAUAUGGCAAAUUGAGUUCCAAAAGAAGUAAAAUAGCACCUCAUUAACAUGUCUACAAAUUUGCUGAAUUGGUUGGACAGUUUAACAGCACCAGACAGAUAGGGAAGAUCUCAGGCUUUGGCCAUCCGAGGCAGAGAGCAAAAGGGAAUUCCAUCCCGGAUGUUUUCAUCUGAUCUGACUGAAACAGGAUCUGGUUCAACAAGGGAUCAUAGGACUUCAUUACAAAUGAUAGUAAGAGUGAGCUAUCAAGGUUAAUGUUGAUCUCUGAGUGCAAAAUCACUGCAAAACACAAAAACUCAAACUUAAGAGACUCGAGACAGCACUCGAGAAAUUGUAUAGUACGGUUAGUUGAGAUUGAUAUGGAACCAUGCAUGGCUUAUUAGUGGUAAAGGUUAUGAAAUAUUUUGCUUAUUAAUGAUAAGAUUUACCUAUAACUUUCAAUCGUGAUGAAGAGGAAGAAAGGGCCGACCCUGCGUCCAACUUGGCAGACCUGCUCUGUUGUUGCUCCAAUUAUCAGUUGAUAUACUUUCAAGGCAAGAAAGACUUUCAAAAGUAAAGUCACUGCAAAACAGAAAACUCAGACUCAGGACUUCGCAUAGCAAAUCAUGAGGCAAACAGGAAAUUGCAUGACAUUUUUGUUUAGUCAAUUAUUAAGAAAGCUAAAUCAGUAUCCGUUUGUUUUUGUUGUUCUUUCCUAACCUAAAUCGGUAAGAAGAUAUCAAUCUUUCUGGUCAGUCUACAAGUACCAGAAGUAUCAUAGAAACUAUAUUAGUAUUUGUUCAAAACACUGAAAAAAGAAAAUUUCUAUGACAAUAGCGAUAAUGAGUGUCACCCACAAGCAUGAAAGGCAGAGAGCCCCACAACUACCGUGAAGGCAGACUCUUUGAGACUGCGAGAUGCGACAGGUUGAGCUAAUUACAACUAUUUUACUCUUAAAAUCUCAUAUUAUUGCAUUUGAUCUUAAACUUCAGUAGAGGAUAGUCUACCAAGUCUUUGCCGCUUGAAAAACGUCUUAACCCAACAAUAAGUAAUGGAAGAAGAUUGUUGGUAUUCUAAAUUAUCAGACCACCAAUCCCACAACCAAGGGCAGUGAGAGUAACUCGAUUGACCAUUGGAUUUAGGUCAAGAGAUCAUAGCUGAAGAAAGCAGAAUCCCAUUAUUUAAGAGACAUAAUAAAAAUACCAAUAAUCAGAUAAUUUGGAGCAAGAUGAUAAAUACAUUUCCAAGAGAUGGAAGUUCAGAGCAAGCAUUUCCAUCCCGGUAGAAUCUCAAGUUUAAAGAGAAUUAGCUCCUUUCAGCAAUCAUGAUAUACAACUGGAAGUAGCAGACAUAUGAGAUGAGCAAAAGUAAACUGCUAUUUUUUAUUUAAAACAAAGAAUUUUUUACUGUGGAUGUAAAUACAAAAAUUUUUCAGCUUUGACAUCAUGUUUAACUGUCCACAUCAAAUAAUCUCCUCUUGAACAUCUGUAUUCCAUAAUUGAAUUUAAUAUAUGGUUAGCGAUAUUGUUUUCUUCCCGGAACAACGCUUGUUGAGUUUUUCUGAAUCAGACUGAAAAGGCCAAGAAAAGUUCAACAAAGUAGACAACUGACCUUACUGUUACAUUACUAGACAACAUCUUGGAAGCAGACGUUUUAAACCUUCAGAUAUUUUGCAACAAAAUCAUCUUAUUGUACAAUUUCUAUCACCUGAUAUUGGAUAGAUUUAAAAGAAUUUAGUAAUGAUUUUACUGGAGUAUAUUGUCCUGAAGAAACAAAAAACUAGAAAUUGACCCCUAAAAUCUUUGUCCAUCAUUGCCUAUCUAUAAUUUUCUGUGUUCCAUCAAACUUUGAUUUAACAAUCUAUUUCAUGAAUGUAAACGCAUUUUCAUUCUUUUUUAGCAAAUUGAUAACCAAAUGAACUUUUAGAGUACUUAGUUGGAUGAGGAGCUUUUAGAUUGAAAAUCUCAGGAAGGCAUGUUUGCCUGCAUUACAAUAAAGAUAGAAGAGCAAAUUCCAUGUCAUUUUUCACUAGGAAUCUUACAGAAAGAAAGGUUUUUUUUUUUUUUUGUUACCUUUGUUCUAAAACUAAUGAGCAGGAAAUAAGACUUGAUACUAAGUACAUCUACUAAUCCAUUUACAACAAAUUCGCUAACCUUACAGUACUUCUUGAAAAUUUGCAAGCUCCUCAUUGUCAAUCUGUUUCUUUGAUACAAGCUCUAUCGCCAACCAUACCCCCCAUGAUCAUUAGCAGAAAUUCAUGGUAAUGAUGGCUUUUGAUCAUGAAAGGCAUUACAUAAGCUGGGGAAAGAAAUUCUGGUGGACAAUUUGUAGAGGCCAGCUCACACAGAUAGACCAUUUUAUCAGGUUUUACACACUAGGAAGAAAGAAAAGUGUGCCUGUAGUGUGUCAUCCUAAUCAUUUCUGCCCAAUUGAAACAGGAUUUGAUUCAACAAAGUUUUCAAAAGUUACAAGCUGUGUAAUUCAAUCAGUAAGUAAAUGCAAUUGUAGAUUCUAGUUCACAUUUGAGCCUGAAAUCAUUGCAGAACAGAAAACUCGAGUUGAGACAAUAUGUGAACAAGAAAGCUAAUCAGAAAGUUCAGAAAAUUCAGCAAUAAUUUUGUUCUGUCAUUCCUACAAAAGGCUAAAAUAUGCCUUGUUUGUUAUGAAACUAAAUAGAUAAGCAAGUACUAAGUCGUGUUUACAAUUACAGUAGUUUGGUUCCAACCACAAAGCAAGUAAUUACAACUCAUAAAAUGAAAAUAAUAAUGGACAAUUUGUAGUGUGGGCAAAGCAUUUCACAUUGAGGCAUUGAGAAACAAUAGAGCUGUGGGCCACUGAGGCACAAUAGAGAUCCACAUUUAAUUGCUACCAAAACACCAGUUAGUUCAAACCUCUAACUCUGAGCAGUAUGCUGGAGAUGACAAUUUGAGUUCUAAAACAUGUAAAUCAGCUCCUCAUUAUCAUGACUACACAUUACUGAAUCAUUCGAUAGUUUAAAAGAACCAUACCCCAAUAGAUAUCUCAGACUUUGACCAUCUGAGGCACAGGGGAAAAGAGAAUGCCAUCCUAGAUGUUGCUAUUCAGCCGAAGCAGGAUCUUGUUCAGCAACGAAUUGUAGGACUUUCAAAAAGUAAAGACAGUAGGUAAGAGCCAUCGCUGAGGUUCCCUGUUUGUGCCCAAAAUAACUGCAAAGCACAAAAACUCAAACUGAAGACGGCGAAUAGCAUAGAAUAAAGCUAGUGGAAAUUUUCAGAUAAUUGUAGCUUUUCUGUCAUUGUAACUAAAGCCCCAAAAGGAGAAACUUACCUUAAAAAAGAAGCAACCAACAAUCAUAAAAGCAGAGAGAGCUUAAAAGCCUUUAUCAGUAGCAAUGCUUGUCGCAACAAGCAGGUGGAUUCAUUAACAGUAGCAAGUCGCAACAAGCAGACUUGACCAACUACCGGACUGCUUUAAAACUUUGCGCUUAGAGUUAAAUGUUGGAAGAUACUCCACCAAGUUUUGUGCAACUUCAUUGCUCAAACAGUACACACCUUCCUUGGCUACCUCAAAAAUAUGAAAGUUCAUUUAUGACUGAUAAAGCAAUUACUAGUCAAAUAGUUCAGAUAAAUAUGCAAGUUCAUUAUCAAGAGGUAAAAGUUUUGUCCCCUUAGAAUUACAAUUUUAAACAGAGUGAGAUGACUUUAGCAAUAAUAACUUGAAAUCCACAGAAGCAGAGCACGUAAAAUAAACAAAAAUAGACUAUUUGUAGGCUAUGCAGGCCAAAAGUUGAUAGGCUAUGCUAGUUGUUCUAAACGUUGAUAGGCUAUUUGUAGGAAAUGCAGGCCAAAAAGUUAUUGCGGUCUAGCCAUAUAGACGGUGCUGAAGAAGCUUCAAAAUUCUAACCUCUGUUCGUGAAGCUAUUCUUCUAUCAAUCCUACAAAAACAAAGCAUAGAACAGAAUAUGAACAGAGGUAUAGUAAAACAUCAAAGCACGAAACAGAACAUAUGCUUGGGGUCAUUCUAAUUGAUAGUUUCAAGAGUAUUACUAUUAUGUUGUAAGGAGUAAAUGAAGAGCACCAAUAUUUUGGACCUGAUAAGAAAUGCUAAUGCCGCAGCUUUGAAACAUAAUAAAUAGGACGAUAAAAAGGGAGAAGAGAAAAUUGUGAAAAUAACCACGAAAGGGAGACUUUUUUAGGUUUUCUCACGAGAAGGUUAAUCAGAGGGGGAGGUGAAGAGAAGGUGAGAUUGAUUGUAAAGCAAAUUAAGAGCGUGGUUAUUGAAGGCAAUCUUACAUGAUUCAAUUUGAUCCGAAGAUGAAAGUUGGUUAGUAAUCGGUUAUGCGUAGGUCUUGAAUGUGAGAAACUUUGGACCACUGGGAGUCGGGGCCGCUGCUCUCAGGAGUGCAUCUUUCUUCUAACAGAGGAGAACCAAAAACCACCAGAGAUUUUAGUUUGGUGAGACUUCUCAUGGCAUCCGCAGAGGGUAGAUGUCCAAGCUCUUUGAAACCAAAUAACUGCAGCUCUUCAAGAGCAGCGAAGUUUCCGAACCAAUCUGGCAGAGCUUUUAUACCUCCAAAGUCGUAUAGCGAUAGUGACGUCAGAGCGGUCAAGCAUUGGAUCUGAGGUGGCAGGGACUCCAUGUGUGGCAACCCACAUAAGUAUAAUCCACGGAGUGCGGAUGACGAAGAGGAGGAUAUCAAUUCAGACCAAUCAAACUCAUCGUAAAUUGAAGAAUUUUCAUGAUCAUCACCAUCAUCUGAGAAGGGACCAAUUGUAAGCUCCCUUAAGCUGGUUAGGAAACCAAAUCCUUUGGGCGUCAUGCUUGUUUUCAGUUUGGAACACUUGACUAAUUCCAGCUCCAAGAGAGAAGGCGUUUGUUGCAAAUUGAGCGGAAAGGAGAUAAGAUUGUCGCAAUAAGCCACCCGAAGCUUCUGGAGAGAGGUACAAGAGUGUAGCAUGUCACCUGGCAGAUUCGUCAACCCAUCGAAAUGAGCAAUCACUAGCUCUUUAAGAGACGCAAAGUUUUGCAGGGGAAGGAGUUCUCUGCAUCUGUCGCAGCUAUAAAAUCGCAAACGCGCUAACUCGGGGAGUGUUGUUGCUGACUCGGGGAGUGUUGUUGUUGUUGUUGGCAAAUCCAUUAACCAUCGAGGAAAUUGAUCGCCCAUAAAAUUCCAAAUUACCAACUCCUCCAAAUUUGGGUGGGGUCGAAGACCAUCUAACACAUCUUCGUCGUUGUAGUUGUCGCCUUCUUGAUCACUAGCCCACCUAAGUUCCAGCCUAAAUAGAUUUGCCUUUUCAGAUAGUUUUGCUUCCUCAGCUCCUUCUUUACCCUUUACUAGUUCCAGAUUGCUUAUCCUCAAAUUGCCUUUGAGAUUCUUCAAGCUUCCAAGCUCUCCAAUUCGUCGACCCUUCUCUCGACCCACGUUAAAGAACUCUAGUGUCUGAAGGCAAGUCAGUCGUCCCAUCUCUAGCGGCAUUUGAAAUGCUUCAUCAAGGGUGUAAAAGUGGAGAUGUCUCAAGCUAAUCAAAUCGCACGUUCCCUUCAGAAGAACCUUAAGAGCGAAACUAUUUAGCCUCAGUGUCUGCAAAUUAUAAAGUUUGCAAACAGAUUCCGGCAAAGUUUCACUUGUGGAAUCCUCAAAGUUAAUGUACCUCAAGUGUAUCAGUUUGCCAAUUGAGAUUGGCAGAUUCUGAUUUUCUUCACCGGACAAAUUCAGAAUGUGCAGAUUCUUCAACUUCUUUAGCAUAUCAUCAGAUAAGCUACCCUGACUCAGAAACAAUGUAUGAAGCAAAUUUGAUCGACUCUUAAGAAGAUUUUUUGCGCCUUCUCCAAAUGAGUCUAUUACAAGACAACGAACCUGAUUACUAUUGUCUCCUGAACCAGUCUCCGAAUUAAUGAAUCUAGUAGACUUUGACAUUAUUGAUUUUGCGACGUCGUGCACCAUAUCAUGCAUUUUAUGCCACCUUGUUCUCCCAUAUUUUCUUGCUUCUUCAAACAACGAACUCUGCAAUAAAAUUUCCAAGUAAUAUUCUCCAAUUUCCUCCAUUGUUUUGUUCUCAAGACCUGCAUGGAGGAAACCUUCUGCCAUCCAAAGUUCGAUUAGCAUAUCUCCUUCCAUCGCAGUAUCCUGGGGAAAAAUAGAACAAUAUGCAAAACAUUUUUUGAUGGCUGGUGAUGGUAGAUUAUCAAAACUCAACCGAAGUAUUUGCAUGACACCAUCUUCAUCUCCGCUCAAAUUUGAAAGCUCAUUCAUCAAAAUCAAUUUCCACUCCUCUUUUCUCUUCAUGCGCAAUAAACCUCCCAUUACACUUGCAGCUAGCGGUAGGCCACCACAUUUUUUUAUAAUUUCCUUUUUCAUGACUUGUAAUUGUUCGGGAAUUUCUACGCCUGCAUUGGCUUUCUCUGUUAGGAUAGACCAACAAUCAUCAUCAGAUAGCUUUCCUAACACAUAAGGAUCAUGUGUGGCCACAAUGGAUGCAGUUCGUUGUUUGCGAGUUGUCACAACACACCAAUUUCCAUUAGUUGCAUUCAGCCCCCGUAACGAAUGUAAGAAAUCAUCCCACAAGAUUGGGCUUUCGGUCCAGACAUCAUCAAGAACAAGAAGAUAUUUUUUUCCCACAAGUUGUUCCCGAAUUUUCCGGACGAUGACAUCCCUGCUGGUCAUUCCAUCAUUUCUUUCCGUGAGUGAUUCUAAAAUCAUUUUCAAAAGCCUUGUCACUUCAAAAUUGUCGGACACACAAACCCAAAUUUUUUUUUCAAAAUGGCUAUCAACUUGCUUCUUGUUGUAUAUCGAUUUAGCCAAAGUUGUUUUGCCUAAACCUCCCAUACCAGUUAUGGGAAGAACAGAAACAACCUUCUCAGACAGGCUCAACAAAAUCUUCACUAUCUCUGAUUCAUCAUCGGCUCUUCCAACCAUUGGAGCAAGAACAGAGUCAGUCUGCCGAUUUCUUGUGUCUCCAACAGCAGCAGGGAGGGCAGCAGGCACGACUGCCCUACUGAACAGUAGCAAUCCGUUGGCUUCUUGAUAGAUGCCAUUCAACUUCAGUUUGACGUCCCUGACCUUAGAAGCCAUUCUCCAGCGAAAAGCAAGAUUAAUGUUAGAGAAGGAGAAGAAGCAGCAUACCUUUCGCUUGGGUCGGUUUCGGGACUCCACCUGGUGACGAAGAGAUUCAUAGUGGAGCUCAUCCAACACAUUCUGAGCAUCAUAAGCCACCUCCUCGAGACACUUCAACCAUCGUUUCACUCCGCUGCUUUGGUUUUGCUUUUCCUCAGCAUCAGCCAGGACAUCUUUGAUAAAGCCAAGAGAAAGUGUCAUGCUGGCCACAUCCUUCUUGAACCCAACUAGCAAACCAAUCCUAUCAGAGGCAAGAGAUACUGCCGUCUCCAAGGCAACCUGAAUUGCGGCCUGAACAGUGGCACUGAUAACAGGGUCGGCCAUUUCUUCUUCCGUGGAUAUACAGCUCUGAGAUCAAGAUUUUUUUUUUUUUUUAUGGAAGGUUUUUUGCAGCGAGGAACUGGUAAUCUUAUCUAGGCUAGUAUAAUUGGUUAUGAAGAAAGGAGCAUUAAUAAUUAUUGCGCGUAGACGUGGAGUUCUUCUCUGACAAAUUUGUAAGCUUUUGCAUUGGCAUGUUUACAGAGUAACUUUCUCAAUUACUAAUCAGGCUUGAGAUUUUAAAUUAACAUGAUCGGUAUGAAGUCCCUAGCCUUCUACUCCUCUCUUUAAAAUCUGCUAGCCUUUAAUUCAGAUCGGUAUUAAUCUUUUUUGUUAUAUUAUUUCUUAUUACUUUCUUUUUCUAGUUGAUUUUGGAUCCUUUUUUUUAUUACUUUUCUAACUUUUUCUCCUCAAACUGGAUGUCUCUCAAUCUCUCUUGUGGGAAUUCAACGUACUUUAAGAUGAAUUUCAUUUUGCCAUUAUCAAGUUUGCACUUAAAGAAUUAAAGUUCAUAUGGGGUUAAGUCAUAUACUAAUUUCAUAUCUUUGACAUUUAUUUAUCACAAACCUCAAUUCUUCUUUCCUCUGGUGUUUCUUUUCUAUAUCAACUCUCCUUAAUCCCAUUAUUGUCUCGCAGCAUAAUCCAGAAAGUGUCAGUAUAUAAGAAUUCUUUUGAAGUAAUUAUUACUAAUAUAUAGUUCCCGUUUCUUGUGGAAUGUUCUGAAUCUUUCCUAAAGCAACAUUUUCCAAUUUGAGUUCCAGAAUUGUUGCAAAAUUUUUGGUUUGCGCAUCACUUUUGCACAGGGGCGGAGCCAGAAAAAAAUCUUAGUGGGGGCAAAAGUAACACUAAAAUUUUUUAUCUACUCAUUUUCUAAUUUUUUAAGCAAAAAAAAAAGUCUCAUGCAUCAAAUCACCAUUUCACAAGUUAAAAUAUUUAUCAAAUAACCCAUUUAUUAGUUAUUACAUUAACUAAUCAAUUUUCAAAUUUCUUUAAAAUAGUAAUAGUCUCAAGCUCUAGAAAUAUAUUUGCAAACAAAUUUAAAAUAAUAAUAAUAAUAAGUAAUUGUUUAGAACCUGAUUUUGAUGGUCUCUUAAAGUUGGUGAAAAGAGCUGCAAAAUGUGGCGGAUCCAAGUUCUAGAAGAUCAAUUGAUUCUGGUGCAAUCUCUAAAUAGGAUAAAGUGAUCAAAAGAAAGAGUAACAAACUUUGGUUGUGGAAAAAAAAAUGGCUCUCGUAUGUAUGUUGGGGAGUGGGGACAACCAAGAGCCAGAUGAGCAAAGGGAAAUUGGGGAGUGGGGACAAAGGAAGUAAAUGAUAAUUGGAUAAAGUGAUAAAAAGAAAAAGUAGUUGGCUUGGGUGUGGAAGAAGAGGAGCCAGUUGUGAAGGGAAAUAGGGGACCACAGGAGUAAAGGGAACUUGGGGAGUGGGGACCAAAAGGAAUGACUGAUAUAAUUGGUACUUGGCCCUGUUGGUGGGAAAAUGGGAACUAGAGGAGGAAAGUGAAUGAUAUAAAUUUUGUGACCCAUUCUUUCACAUUUUUUCUAAAAAAAAUUCUGGGGGCACCUUUAAAAUUAUGUCAAAAUUGUAGAUGUAUUAUAGGAAUCACUUUAAAUCCGCCCCUGCUUUUGCACGUAAGAAUUCAAAAUUUCACCACCAAUUAAAUAGUUUUCCUCGCAACUUGUCCCGUUUGCAUUGCUAUUUUUAGAAAUUUUUGUAAAAAAAUAUACUAUAGAGAUUUGAUGUAUAUGAGGUAAAAAGGCUAUUGAGAAAUAUAUUUACGAAAAAAUUGCUAGUUUCCUUUUCUCUUCUAUUUCAUCUUUUUCUGAUUGAAAGCUGGCUGGCCUUUGGUUGUGGAAAAUAUCUCAAUGGUUUGUCGGAGUUGUGGUUUGACCCAAGACUGAACCCCGCCAAAAAGGAAAAAACUAUGUUCGACGAUCAAAAUGUAAAGGAGAAAGAAGAAAUGACAACCAUAGCUGGUGACUUUGCAACAUUAAUUACCUCAGCCAUUAAUCCUUGGGAAAUAGACUAAAAACGUUAUUUUGUGGGGGAAAAACUUAAAAAAUAAUCCGUGGUUCACUUAUCAAAAACAUGAAGUGGAGUUAGCAAUCAGGUUUAGCAUGUAACGACAUAAUUGGCCAAUGGUUGGGUGCUUUCUUAGCUUUUACACUUGUGAAAUCGCCAAAAUAUUCACUCGUAAUUCCACAAGCUUUCUAGCACUUUAAAAAUUCAAACAUUUUGUGUCAAAAUGUCUUGUUUAUGUACAGUAUACAAAAUUUAAGUGGUGAAAGUUUAAGGAGUUUCUUUAUUACUAUUUUUGUUUUGAGUACGAUAUACAAUCAGUUGGAGUUAGAAGUGAAAUAGACCUUUAGCUCACACUAUGAUUAUAAACUUUGACUGAAUUGGAUGUUUUGGGAAGGGGAAAAUGAGCAUGUUCUUGUGGAUUUCAAUUUUUACAAUUGAGUAGUUUGCCUAUGAUAUGAUCACAAGUUUAACUUAAAUGGAGUUGCGAUAAUAGAAGAUUCUCGAAAGAAGACUUCAAAAAGUGGAAAUUGAAAAUGAGUGGAAAUUAAUGGGGAAUUAACCAGUUAUUUGGAUACUUGAAUUAUUUGUUCUUAUGGUUCCUCUCUCUUCUAAAAAUAUGGUUAAUUUGUAUAAUUUUUUUUAUCCAUAUGGAUUAACUUAGUGUUAAAAAAAUUUUAACUGUUAGCUGAUAGAUUUAUCAAUAUUGCUGGAAAUUAAAUAUUUGUUGAUGUAGAAAACAAAUCGCAAAAUAUAUUGUGCUCAGUUAAGUAGGAAAAUGUAACUAGGUUUAUGGUUAUUAUAAAAAUUGUAAUUAUCUAAAAAAUAUCCGUACACAAAAAGGUAGAAUAUCUAUUGAUUUUUUUAUAUGUGUUAUAAUAUUUGAUGAAUAUUAUUAUAUUAUAGUAAAACUAUGUAAAGAAGUUUUUAAAAAUUAGUAUGAUAGUUAAGUAUAAUUAUUCCAUUAAUUUUCUAAAAUUAAUAUGAAUGAACUUGUAAGAUCAUCAUUAAUUUUUAUUUAAAUUAGUCAUGCCUGCACGAAUUCAUAAUAAAAUAAAAAAAUAAACCAUGCCAAGGCACAUGCAAGAUGCUAGUUCAAAUUAAUGUUGUACACGUAUAGGAGUCACAAAACGGUUUGGUGCACUAGCUAGCAGACGAAAGGGGACAUCUAAAGUAUUAGGACAAGUUUUACAUCUAGCAGACGAAUUCAAUCGAUUGUGAUGUAUUUGCUGAUUUUCUUGAAAUAAAAAAUGCAUAGGAAAAAAAUAUUAGAGAGUUAUCCUUUGCAUGGAGUUCAUAUCGUUGCUACUUUUGCUACGCUUGUCUGAUGGAUGUCUGCUUGAAAUAUGCGUUCCACAUAUUUUGUAUGUUUAUCCUAAUAUAAAUCAUCUUAUAUUGUGCUAAUAUUUCAAACAGGUUUUGGAAUUUUGCUGCAAGUUUAUCUUCUCAAAAGAUAAGUCAAUCGAUUUGAUUUGCGUCAAAAAAAUGUGGGUAGAGUUUUGGAAUUUAUGCUUUGCCUGAGGCCUAGAGCCCUUUCUGAUUGACAGAUCUUAAAUGCUGGGGCCUUCAGUUGUGGUAAAAAACUCUCUGACCCAAGACAAGACGCACAAGAAACUGUUGUCUUUAAGGAUAAAAAUGUACCAAAAAAAUAAUAAUAAAUAAAAGGAAAAUAACAAUCUACUUUGGCUACAUUGUUCAGCCAAUUUCCAGUUCUUUAGAAAUAAAAUAGACGUUCAACGUCCAUUUUCUAAUUCGAUUCAGUACUGUGACCCCUUUUUUCAAUUUUCUAUAAUUUGAGGUAUAUAUAUAUAUAUAUAUAUAUAUAUAUAUAUGUAUAUGCCAAUCAUAUCCCAAUGCCAUUUGGUGGCUUUGCUUGGUCACUAUUCAACGCUUCCCUAUAUUUGUUGUAUUGUUCCCGUCAUUCAGAAACAAGGGAACAAAUCCUUAUACUACUGUAUAAGAAUAAAUUGUGGUCAAAUGGAUUUGAAUUUCAGCCGCAUGAAUAUGGACUUUUUGAAAAUAUCAAAUAUUGUGCAAUUUUUUAAAAUCUUUUGGUAUAAUUGAGGCAGCAUGUGUUUAGAUAGAUUUAUUGAAAUACAGCCAUUUUGGUACAUUUAAAACUUUGAUUUAUGGGGACAUUCAGGUAUUUCUGGAAUAUGAAAUUAUUUUACAAUCAUUUUUGCAUCGAGUACAACUCAUAUAAACUUAUGUGUUGAUAUAAUUACUGAAAUGAUAUUAUUGACAUAUUUAAUUAAAGUGUGAUUUUUGUUGUACAAUUAAUACAAAGAUAUAUUAACACAUUGUGCAAUUAAAACGUUGCUAUAAUUAGCCAUUAGAGGAUAUUUCUUUGUUUAAAACAAUUUAUAUCUGCUCUUGGACAAUUUUCAACUAACAUCUGUAGGGAUUUUUUAAGAAUGGUAAAAUUGUAAAAGUAUUGAUAAAGUAAAAUAUACAAGUGUGUGUUGCAAUUAGAAUAUACUAUUAUUAGUUUUGUCAUAUUUAAUGACUAUUUCUUUUCGAAAUGUAUAAUUAUUUAUCCAAUAAAAAAUUCUCUCUAAUCACAAGCACCAAACAUCAGCACGAUGCACUGGCACUCCCUAGUAAUCACAACAAAGAGAGGAAGGCAACCAAAUUGAUCAAGAAAGUGGAGCGAUUGAUUACAAGGGUGAAUUCUUAGUUUAUGAUGGAAAAAAAAAAGAAUUCUACAACGAGGGCGGUUCUUGGAGUGUGUUCUGCAAAUAGGGGUCUUCGCAUUCCGGAAAUGCGAGCUCACUGAGCUCACAUUCCCAGAAUGCGAGCUCGUGAGCUCGCAUUCCGCCAAUGCGAGCUCGAAUUGGAGCUCGAAUGCGAGCUCACUGAGAGCCAAGACAAGGAGGAAAUCAUGCAAAUAUUGAAAAUACUUCAUGCAAGAUGGUUUGGCAGCAGGCUCGCGGCACAGCUUUUAUGGUGUCUGAUGUAGUUUCCUUUCAUCCGACUGCAACUAAUGACUUGAACAGUCAACAUUUAGACUAUAGUAAUAAAAAUUCCAAACAUUUUCCAUCUUUUAGCCGCAAAAAUCCUUAUGUUUAAGCACAAAACAAAUUAGAUGAAAGGAUCAUGCGAGCAUCAAAGAACAGUUUUUUCUUCAACAACAAUGCUUCUGCAAAUUUCGAUGCAGAAAAAUCAUGCAAAGCUUCAAACAAAACUAGUGAACCUAUCACCCCAAAUACCCCUUAACACUGAACACUUCACAUGAAACCAGGGUUAUUGAUUAUAAACACAAAUCUCAGCAGAUCAGAACUUGCGGCCAAACAAAGACAACCAAACAGCAACUGAAGUAGAUAAAGUUUCAAAGCCGCAAGUCUGGGGGAGCUAGUAAAAAAAAUUAAAUUAGAGCUCGCAUUUGCGGAAUGCGAGCUCAAUAAGUAGAGCUCACAUUUCGCGAAUGCAAGCUCUAUUCUAACCUCGCAUUCGUGAAAUGCGAGCUCAGUAGAGCUCGCAUUUCACGAAUGCGAAGACCCCCGGACGGAAUCCAUUACCAAAAUCACCCCUUUUGUAGAAUUUUUUAAAAAUUCAUCACAAAAUUAGAAAUUUCUCUUGAAUACAAAUGAAUAAUGUCAUAUUGCCGCAUAUUACUACUGCCUUAUUACCAUUAGAUAGGCAAAAUAUUUGUACUUUUCAAUUUUCUAUUUGAGGGUAACGUCUAAUAUCCCAUUUUUUUCCUUAACCCUAAUCGUCAAUCCUAAAUUUCAUAAGGAUUAGUAUAAAUAAUUUUGAAUUAUUUUUUUAACUCUUUCUUAUUUUCAACUCAAAAGUUCGAAGUAUCAAUUCAAAUAUUAGAUUAUUUUUAUCAGAUUAUCGCUAUCGAAAAUGCUCUACAUUUUUACUCAUAUAUAUGGUCAUCGAUCUAUUACUCAUCACUUUAUCAAGCAGUGUAGAUGUUUACACUUUUUCACAAUGUUUUUAGAAUUUUUUUUUUUACUUCAAUUCAAGGACCGGAUUUGAAAUUUCGUUUUUAUUCCCUUCAAUGCAAGGACCGCAUUUGGACUUUGUUUAUGCUCGCUGUAUGUGGUCUGUAAUUUCUUACACCUUCUUCAUAACUAGGUCAUUGUAAUUUGAAUUUUCUAAGUCUUCAAAAGUUACAGUUUGAUUUUUAUUUCUGGCAAGGUUUUUGUAAUUAAUUUGUUAUUUCAAUUUAUGGAUUCACUCUUCAAUUCAAGUAGAACACAUAUUGCUUUUUUGGUUAGUGAUUUAAAUUAAAGUGGCCUUUUGAACUAUGUGUUUUCACACGAUUUUUUAAUUGCCUUUGAUAAUUUAUUAAUUAUCUUCAACAACGUAUUAAUUUUUUUUAUUUUCUAGGUUUCUGGGGUUAAAAAAAUUUUGUGCAGUUUUCGAUGUUUUCUUUUAGACUUUGGUAGAAAGCUUUUAAAGAACAAGAAAGUGUCACUGAUUACAUAAAUGGCAAGGCAUCAAGUUCAUUCUCAUACAGCAGUUCACGUCAUGCAAUGUACAUCAGACUAUUUAGAUAUUUUAUGUUUUUGACUUAAUAGCAAAAUACAUCUUAUGUUUUCGUUUUGGUUUCUAUUAGCCAUGAACAGAUUUAGAAGGUUGCUGUGUUCCUAUGACUUGAUUGAUUCUGAAUCUUUCAUUAAUAUUUCAUUCGGCUUCUUUUUUUUCACAUUAACCUUUAAGCCAUUUAUAUUAAGUACCAUGGAAGUUGCCAUGGAAGUUGCUUGGGAUUUUGACUUGACCUUUCUUAAUCAAUGCUUUGCUGAGGCCUACACCUUUUUCUGAUUUUGGGGCCUUCAGUUGUGGAAAAAAUCCCAGAGGGUUGUUGGAAUAGUGAUGAACCAGAGGGUUGGGACCUUUGGUAGAAAGCUUUUAAAGAACAAGAAAGUGUCACUGAUUACAUAAAUGGCAAUGCAUCAAGUUCAUUCUCAUACAGCAGUUCACGUCAUGCAAUAUACAUCAGACUAUUUAGAUUUUUUAUAUUUUUGACUUAAUAGCAAAAUACAUCUUAUGUUUUCGUUUUGGUUUCUAUUAGCCAUGAACAGAUUUAGAAGGUUGCUGUGUUCCUAUGACUUGAUUGAUUCUGAAUCUUUCAUUAAUAUUUCAUUCGGCUUCUUUUUUUUCACAUUAACCUUUAAGCCAUUUAUAUUAAGUACCAUGGAAGUUGCCAUGGAAGUUGCUUGGGAUUUUGACUUGACCUUUCUUAAUCAAUGCUUUGCUGAGGCCUACACCUUUUUCUGAUUUUGGGGCCUUCAGUUGUGGAAAAAAUCCCAGAGGGUUGUUGGAAUAGUGAUCUGACCCAAGAGGCACAAGAAACUGUUGUCCUCAAGGAUAAAAAUACACAGCGGUUGAAUGCUCGAAUUCAACAUCUGCUUUUGAUCCACACCCUUUGGGGGGGCCCUUGGAUGCGGAAAAUUCCACCCAAGAAGUGCAAGAAACUGUGUGUGUGUUGAAUGAUGAAGAAAAGAAAAUGGCAAUCAUCAUUGAUCAUUGAGAUUAAUUAAUCUCACUCCUUAAUUCUUUGGACAUCAUCGUACAAUUAAUCAUGUCAUCUAAAUUGCUUAUACUUAUUUGAAAAUUAUUUCAGUACUCCUUAUUUUGUUUGCUUUCUGCAGGGCAUUAUGCCAUGAAAUAAUUACUGUAAUACUUUUUAUAAUAUGAUAUAUAUUAAAUAAAAAAUAAUAAAAAAUAUAAAAAAUGAAUUAGAAAAAAAUAUAUAUAUAUGAUAUAAAUAAAAUAUUAUUUAAAAUAAUUGGGUAUUGAAAGACCCCCGGAGUUCUCCAUUUCCAUGCUAGCUAUAUAUUUUCCCUUUUUGUCUAGUUCGGAAUAGCUAGAAAUUUACAGUGGAUGCUUUUGUUUGCACUUCAACCACCGGAAAAAGUGCUGCAGCAUUACAUCUUUGACAAACUUGCAUGCCAUUAUUGACUUGGCCUUUAUUGAUCAAUGGUUGGUUAGGUAUUUCAUCUUUUUCUGAUUGAAAGCUGGCUGGGGCCUUUGGUUGUGGAAAAUAUCUCAAUGAUUUGUCGGAGCUGUGGUUUGAUCCAAAUACUGCGCCACCCCUACCCCCCCCCCCCCCCGGCCCCAAAAAAAAAAAGCCCAAGCACGCCAAAAAAGAAAUGUUCAACGCUCAAAAUGUAAAAGAGAAAGGGAAAUAACAACCAUAGCUGGUGACUUUGCAGCAUUAAUUACCUCUGUCAUUAAUCCUAAUAGACUAAAAACGUUACUUUGCAGGGGAAAAACUGAAAAAAUAACCGCUGGUUCACUUAUCAAAAACAUGGAGUGGAAUUAGUAAUAAGGGUUUGGCAUGUAGCAACAUAAUUGGACAAUGAUUGAGUGCUUUCUUAGCAUUUAUGCUUGUGAAAUUGCCAAUAUAGUCACUCGCAGUCCCACAAGUUUUUUAGCACUUAAAAACUUCAGACAUUUUGUGUCAAAAUGUCUUGUUUUUGCAUACCAUACAAAAUUUAAGUGGUGAAAGUUUGAGGAGUUCCUUUGUUAUUAUUCUUUUUUCUUUGGAGUACAAUAUACAAUCAACUGAAUUAUAAGUGAAAUCGACCUUUAGUUCACAAUAUAAUUAUAAAUUUUGACUGAAUUGGGUGUUUUGGGAAGGGGGAAAUGAGCGUGUUCUCGUGGAUUUCAAUUUUUACUAUUGAAUUAUUUGCCUAUGAUAUAUGACAAGUUUAACUUAAAUGGAGUUGUGAUAAUAGAAGAUUGUCUAAACUCGAAAGAAGGCUUCAAAAGGUGGAAAUUGAAAAUUAAUAUGAAUGGACUUGUAAGAUCAUCAUUAAUUCUUUAUUUAAAUUAUUCAUGCUUGCACGAAUUCAUAAUAAAUUAAAAAAAAUAAACCAUGCCAAGGCACAUGCAAGAUGCUAGUUCAAAUUUGUACAUGUAUAGAGUCACAAAUCGGUUUGGUGCACUAGCAAACACAAGGGAACAUCUAAAGUAUUAGGACAAGUUUGACAUUAAAGUGGAAGAUUUGUAGAGCAAUUGAGCGUAAACAAAUGAGGUUGAGGAAAAAUUUAUAUCAAUUGCAAUACAAUCAUGAAGCCCCUGACACAUUCGUUAAAAUAAGAAAUAUUUAUUAAUUUGAGGUAGUCUAAUAGCAAACCAAGGGGAAAAAAAUAUGAAUGAUCCGUAAGGAGGAAAAAUGUCAUUUUACUUUAAAUAAAAGUAUGAAUGGAUAGGGGUUUACUUGAACAAAAAAUUUAGACUAAUAUCGUAAUUUGGUGCAGUCUAAUAGCAAACCAAGGAAAAAAAAAAUACUGAGUACCCGGGUUUGGUGAAGCCAAGAAAUAAUGAGAAAGUGAUUGGCUGGUCCACGCACUUACUUGUAUUAGCGGUAGAGUCGUGCAGCACCCUUUUAGCAUGUCCGCUGUUGGAAGAAGGGAGAGAAAUGACAGGGCGGUAUGAUGUGAGCCAGCUACUAGAUUAGAUAAACCUCUUUUUUUUCUUUCUUUUUUUCAGGUAGUGGAGUGAUUACACAGACUAUUUAAGAGGAAAUAUGUUAUAAAAGAAUUUUAACAAACACAAGAAAAUUUUCUUAAAAUGCCCAAUUAUUUUAGUGGAAAAUUUAGCAUGAAAAUAUUUGUCUGGCGAAAAAUUUUAAAUUGACAAACAAAAAUUAUUGUAAAUUUAUUGUUCAUGUUUCUCGGGACGGGGUAAUUAUGAUAGGGUGAAGGGGUGUACUGUGGUGAGUGAAGGUGUGCCUCUUGCUAUCAGUGAGUGGUUGAAAUUUAAAGGGCUACCAUCACCUUGAGUCAUGUUCACGUAUAGAGAUAUUGCACCUUUUGGAAAUGUACAUUUCAUUUAUUCAUGGACCUGCCAGUGGGCAUGAAAGUUGCCAUGAAACUUAAGGGUGAGCAAAAUUAUCUACUUAUUUGAAAAUCUGUCGUAUUCGAUUCGAUUCAAUCCAAAAAUUAAGAUACCCUAUUUAUAUUAUUUGAUCGGAUAGGAUUGGGUACCCGCUAAGAUACGGGACGGAUUAGGAUCACAUACCCGACCCGUCCAACAUAUAUAUAUUUAUUUGUUAUUUUUAUAUACAUACUAUAAAAUAAUAAUUUAGAACUAAAUAAAUAAUUUCAUUGAACAAAUUUUAUUAUAAAUAUGAGAGACUAUAGUUUGUUUACAAGAUUCAUUUGUAUAGAUCAUGAUUUUAUGUUUUAUAGAAAAGAGUUUAAUUAAUGUGAAACAUAUAUGUCAAAUUUUUAUUGAUUUGAAUACUUUUAAUUUUUUUCCUUUAUCUUGUAUUCUCUUCGCAUGUUUGUUUCUUGGUGAGAGUUUUUUUGAAAAAAAAAAAUCUUUAUUAAAUUUUAAAUGAAUGUGUAAAAUAUAAAUUUAAAUUAGUAUAAAUCUUUUUUUUUUAUUUUAAUGAUAAGUGUGGCGGAAUGGAUACCUGUUGACCCGAUCCUAUAUCAACGGUUACCCUAUAAAUGGAUACUUACUAAUAUACAGUGCGAAUAAAGGUCAGAAAAUAGUUGACUUGCAAGAUGCGAGUCGGAUCAGUUAAAUGGUGCACGGGAUGAAUAUCCGAUCCGUGUCCACCUUUAAUGAAACUUGGAUGCUAUUCUAUUAAUUGCCAUGCACGUUGCUUGGGAUUUUGACUUGACCUUUCUUAUUCAAUGCUUUGCUGAGGCCUACAUUUGCUUCUGAUCGACAGAUCUUACUUGUUGGGGCCCUCAGUUGUGGAAAAUGUCUCAGAGGGUUGUUGGAAUGGGGAAAUGGGGCAGGAAUGGGGCAAGAAAUCUGGAAAGCAAGAAAUCUGGUGAUCUUCCAUGGAAAGCAAGAAAUGUUUUGAGAGAUGACAAAGUUUCGUAUAGAUAUGAUUGGAAUAGAAGAGUAUAUAGCUGAUGUAAAGGUGGACUUUGCCACUGUGUAAGCACCGCUUCUUUCUAUCAAUAAAAAUGAACAAGUUUUGCUCAAAAAAAAAAAAGAAAAAAGAAAAGAAAAGAGCCAAUCCAUACAACCAAAGAGAUGCAGAGAUUAUGAAGGUGCUCAAUUACAAAAUAGUAGGGAAACUAAUAGCUGUUGUUGUAAUUGCAACUUUACGUAUCAUCAGAACAUCAGAUUAUGGCUAGAAAAGGGAAGCACAAAAAAUGUAGAUAUCUCUGGUCAAUAGUUAAAGAUACUACAACAGUUUUUGGCAACUAAGUAGAUGGUAAUUUCAGAAACGAAGAGUCUGCGACAGAAUAGCAGAUUCACUACAAUAAUCAGUGAAUUAUUAGUACUACCACAAAUCAUGACUAAAACUGCAACAGAUGAUUGACAGUUUGAAGGCAACAUAUUUGCAACAAGAAAUCAAGAAGCUUUGGCCAGCAGAAACAAAGGGAAUGAAAAAGGCAGUGCCAUGAUGAAAUUCAAGAAAGGAUUAUCCAAAGAAAAGGCAGUAAUUAGGAGCCGUCAAAAUAUCUGUCUGAGCUUUAAGCCUACUGUCACUGCAAAACAGAAAUACUAGCAAAUCAUAAGGCUAACUGGAAAUUACAUGACAUUAAUGUUUAGCUAGUAUUCAGAAAGCUAAUUCAGUAUUUUGUUUUUGCUGUUCUUUUCUAACCUAAAUUAGUAAGCAGAUAUCAAAUCUUCCUGCUCAGUCUACAAGUACCAGUAGUGCCAUAGACAUUACACCAGUUUGUGUUUGAAAUACUGAGAAAAGUGUUGUUCUAUAACAAUAUAGUUAUAAUAUGUGGCACGUACAAGAAUGAAAGGCAGAGACAGUUCCAGAGUUGCCAUGAAUGCGAACUCUUUCAGACCUGCAAGAUGCAAACGUCUUAAACAUGACAAUUUUUUAAGGUUUUAGUUAACUCAUUGGAUAUUGAACUGGUUAAAACCCAACUAUUAAGUAGUGGAAGAAGAUUAUUGGUACUGUAAAUUAUCAAACCACCAAUUUCACAACCAAGGGCAGUGAGAGUUCCCUCAAUUGUCCGUUCCGAUUUAUACCGAGGAGAAUCGGUAGAAUCCCAUCAUUCAAGAGACACGAUAGAGAAUGCCAAUAACCAGGUAAUUUGGAGCAAGAUGACAAUUACAUAUUCAAGAGGUGAAAGUUUAGAGCAAGCAUUUCCACUUGCUCCCUUCAGCAAUCAUAGCGUACAACUGGAAGCAGCAGACAGCUGGUAAAAGUAAACUGCUAGUUUUUAUUUAAAACAAAGAAUUUUGUACCGUAGACGUAAAUACAAAAAAGUUCUCAGCUUUGACAUUGUGCUUGAUUCUCCACAUCAAAAAAUCUGCUCUUGAAUAUCUGUAUUCCAUAAUUGAAUUUUAUAUAUGGUUAGUGACAGUGUUUCCUUCCCUGAACAGCACUGAAGUUCAACAAAGCAGAUUACUGAGCAUUCAACAAACUAAAGUUUAACAGUUGCAUCAUUUCCCAAAUUGCCAAUUUGCUUCCAUGAUUCACAGCUUCAAAGAUAGCACAAUUAACGAUUGAGAUCUCGAAUUGCAACCUACAAUCAACUUGUAGAUGCAAAACAAUAACUCAACGGUCCUUACUGUUACUUUACUAGACAACAUCCCUGGGAGCAAAUGUUUUAAAAAUUCAGAUAUUUUUGCAACUAAAUCAUCUUACCAUACGAUUUUUAUCACCUCAUGUCAGGUAGAUUUGAAAAAAUAUUAGUAAUGUUUUCACUGUAGUAUGCUGUCCUGAAGAAACAAAAAACUACAAAUAAAGUUAAAAAAUCAUUGUCCAUCAUUGCUUAUUUAUAAUUUUCUGGGUUCCAUCAAAUUCUGUAGCCUUUCCCUGAGUAGACUAGCUCUACAAAGCCUUACUGCUUGGGAGACUGUCCCAUAUAUGGGAAUGGGUCCAUAAGCAGGAAAUAAGACUUGAUACUGAACACAUCUAUUUAUCCAUUUUUUUUAAAAAAAUUGUAAACCUGAGGGUACUUCCUAAAAAUUUGUAAGCUUCUCAUGGUCAAUCUGUUUUGCCAAUACAAGCUCUAUGUGGUGGAACUCAGAAAAUGAGCCAUUAAGUCACAGCAAAAUCCGCAUAUAACUGCAACCAAAACACCAGCUAGUUCUAAUUUCUAACGACGAGCAGUAUGCCAGAGAUAGCUAAUUCAGUUACAAGUAAAUCAGCCCCUCAUUAUUGUGACUACAAAUUGCUGAAUCAUUUGGACAGUUCAAGGUGGAUUCACUAAGAGCAGCAAGUUGCAACAAGUAGACUUGACUAGCUUUUGAAAGGCUUCAAAACAUCCUGCUUAAACUUGACCAUGUUGGAAGAUACUCCACCAAGUACCAAGUUUUGUGCA